rnacentral:lncRNA from 1 species
UCUGCCUCAAUUUUGUAAAUGGUCGAACCAAGAUGUUUUCCCUAGGGGGCUCUAGCGCAGCUCUUAUCCCCUUCUUUUUUGAAGAGGCAGCACCAGCGCAUGCGCCCAUCGCUGGCUGCUCAUAGCGGCGUACCGCCGUCGACGAUAGCUUAAGCGGAGGGAAGAUGUACGUCACGGCGUCUCUCCCGGCCUCUACUGCCGAAUGGAUUUGGGGGAGCCUGCACAGGUAAAAUCCCUAAUUUUUUCUGCAUCUCACCUGAGUUAAAUUUCUUCCCAGAUUAGAAAUUGUUGGGCAAAAUCUCCAUGCCACAACCACGCUCAGGAUUUAGUAAAGAAGAUAUUUAAAUCUCCAUGCUGCAGGCACUUUUUCAUGGAGCUGAUACAAUAGAUAUUGAGAUUUAAGGACUACUAGUGGAGUGCCCGUGCGUUGCUACGGGUUUAAGAAAAAAUUACCAUCUUAUAAUCUUCAAAAUUAUGUCAAACAUAUUAUAACCUAAUAAAAGGGAGGAUGAAAAAACCAUAUUGCAAUGUUCAAUAUCUUUUAUCAUUGGUCAGCGAGGUAUAAUAAUAAUCGUUCUAUACAUGCAGGAUAGUAAAGAACUCUUAUACAUUUGUUCUUUUACUUCAUUGCAUGAAAUGUAUUCAGUACAUCGACAUAUAUCAUACAUGCUUUGCACCUAUAGUUUUGUUCUACCCACCUAUUCCAUUCUCUGAAAUGGAGACUCGCGCCCUCUCGCGGUCUCUUUCUCGCCCUUCUUCCGCCGUCGACUCUUGGCACGUCUGCGCCAAGCGAGGCCGACAGUUCAUGAAGGGAUGGGGCACCAACCUGGGGCGUGACCUCCGCGAGCGUAAGAAGGCUCUGCUGUCUGCGAUCCAAGCCCUGGACCUGCGCGCCGAUGCUACUGGCCUCUCUCCCGAGGAGUGGCUCUCCCUCUACGACUUGGAAGAUCAGCUCUCUAUCAUCUACACUGAUGAAGAGGCCUACUGGCGUUUGUGUGGUGCUCAGAAAUGGGUCUUGAAGGGCGACGCGAAUACGGCAUAUUUCCAAGCCAUUGCUAAUGGCCGAGGUAGGCGCAACACCAUUCCUCUCCUUUGGGAUGGCUCGACCCUCCUGCAGUCCCCGCGGGACAUUAGGUCCCACGUCGACGGCUUCUAUAGGGCCCUGUUCACAGCCGCUCCUCGGAGCGGCUUAUCUUUGGCCCCUGACUGUUGGUCCGGUCGCCAGCUUGUUUCCGAGCCUGAGAACGUGGCUCUUAUGGCCCCCUUCUCAGAGGGCGAGGUCUGGGCCGCCAUCAAGGGCAUGAACCCUGCCUCGGCCCCUGGCCCGGAUGGCCUUCCAGUCAAGUUCUUCCAAAGCUUCUGGAAUGUGAUCAAGCCGGAAGUCAUGGCCAUCUUCGACGAGUUCUACGUUGGGUCCAUCGAUCUUGGGCGCCUUAACUACGGGACGAUCUCGCUCAUCCCCAAGGUUCCUGGUGCUUCUGACAUCCGUCAGUUCCGCCCAAUCACGGUGAUUAACGUGAUCUUCCGGAUUCUGGCGGAAGGGUACGCCAAUAGGGUGACCCUGCUCGCGGACCAGAUUACUCACCCCAACCAAUCGGCUUUCAUCCAAGGCCGUUAUAUUCUGGAUGGGGUGCUGGUCCUUCACGAAGUCCUCCAUGAGGUCUGCUCCAAACACCUCAAGGCGGUCUUCCUGAAGAUCGAUUUCCAUAAGGCCUAUGACACUGUUAGCUGGCCCUUCCUUCGGGAAGUUCUCCUGCAGAAAGGCUUCGAUGACCGUUGGGUACCGCGGGUUAUGCAGAUGGUCUCGUGUGGUCGCACCGCCGUCAACAUCAAUGGGGAGAUCGGCCCCUACUUCCCCACUUUCUGCGGGGUGAGGCAGGGUGAUCCAUUCUCCCCGUUCCUGUUUAGUAUGGUGGUCGAUGCUCUUGCGGCCAUUCUGGACAAGGCUACGGCCGCGGGCCAUAUUAGUGGGAUCACCGCCCACUUGACUGGGGGCGUUGGCAUCUCCCUGCUCCAGUACGCUGACGACACCAUCAUCAUGGUCGAAGGCUCAGAUACGGACAUCGCUAGCCUUAAAUUCCUCCUCGUCUGCUUCCAACAAAUGUCUGGUCUUAAGAUCAACUUCGACAAGAGCGAUGUGAUGGUGAUGGGCUAUUCCCCGGCUGAGGCCCUUGACAUUGCCAACCGCCUCAAUUGCCGCCUGGGUUCCUUCCCAACGACCUACCUGGGAACGCGCAUUAGUGACUCUCGGCUCACUGUGGCGGACCUUCGUCCUGCGGUGACCAAGUUGCAAACGCGCAUUGAGCCUUGGCAAGGUCGGUGGCUCUCGAAGGCGGCCCGGACGAUUCUCAUCAACUCCUCGCUCUCUAGUCUCCUCUUAUUCCUUAUGAGCUUCUACAGCCUCCACGAGACCCUCCAUCACGAGAUCGCUAAAAUCCAAUCGCGCUUCUAUUGGGCUGGGGACAAUAACAAGCAGAACUAUCAUAUGGUUAGUUGGCCCGACAUCUGCAAGCCCCGGGAGCAGGGAGGCCUUGGCAUCAUGUGCUCGAAGCGCAUGAACAUUGCCCUCCUCUCCCGCUGGCUCUGGCGCAUCUCACAAGGGCAUGGCGGUCUGUGGUUAGACAUCAUCCGGAAUAAAUACUUGCGUGGCCAACCUCUGGCCUUCUGCCAACGUUCGGGUGGAUCCCAGUUCUAGCAGCCGGUCAUCCAACUGCUCCCCGUCCUCCGCAUUGGGACUUCCAUCUCGGUCGGAUCGGGAGCAGCGAUCUUGUUCUGGUUUGACCGAUGGGCGGGUGACGCUCCAUUCGCGGCCCGCUUCCCCGACCUCUUCUCCAUCGCUAUAGUCCCUACAAUCUCAGUUCAACAGGCCCUUAUUGACUUAGGGCUCCUCGCGUUCCGGAGGCCAUUUGGGCCCCCGAAAGUGGCCGCCUGGCAUGAGCUUCUUGAUUGUAUUGCUCUCCAUGAGCCGGCUAUCGAUGCUGGCCCGGAUGAGGUUCGGUUGCGCCUUGAGCCUUCGGGUCAAUUCUCCACCAAAUCCCUUUACGCGGCUAUCGCCCCAUCCUCCGCCCCGCCGCCCCUCCAGGAGGUAUGGUCCAUUCGCCUGCCCCUUAAAAUUCGGAUCUUCAUGUGGCAAUGGAUCCGCGGCCGGCUGCCGUCUGGAGUUGAGGUCCGCAAGCGCAAUGGCCCGGGCUCUGGCCUCUGCCCUCUAUGUGAUACCCCCGAAGACUCGAACCACAUAUUCUUCUCCUGCGUGUCUGCUCAGUUCGUGUGGAGCUGCUUUAGAGAGGCGGUUGGUGGGGAUUGGUGCCACUCCAACUUCCCUGACCUCUUCACCGAGCUACAGGCCGCCCCGCUGUCCUCUCGCCACAUUAGGUGGCUUGAGAUUGGGGCCCUCGCGUGGACGCUCUGGACUAUUCGCAAUAAGCUUGUGAUUCAACGCUCCCCUCUUCGACGAUCUACUGACGCUCUCUUCAAACUGUCUGGUUACUUGCAGCUCUGGCGGCCGCUUAGCCGCCCUCGGGACCGGGAUGCCAUCUCCGCCUUCAUCGCCGACCUCCGCUUGAUGGCCGUCCGCCUGUCGCCGCCACCACCGCCGCCUCCGCCCGAGCCUGGUUAGUCGUCUGUUUGCUCUCCGGCCUUGGCCCCGGCUGAGCCUGUCUCUUAUUUCGUGUGUGUUUUGGGCUUGUUGAGCUGUGCCCUCAGCAGUACCUCUGGAUUUAUUGUUGUGCGACUUGGGUGUGUGUGUUCUGAACUAGUCCUUGUAUGUGCUCUUGGUGGUUUGGUUUAUUUAUAAAGCGGGGCGAAAGCCUUUUUCGGUAUUCCAUUCUCUGAAGAAUGGUAUAUGGAUAUAUAGACUCCAUUGGAGAGAAUACACUAUGGAAUCCCCGUGUCAAUGUUAAAUAAUCAUGUAAAAAAGAAAGAGAAUAAAAGUAAAAGUGAGUCUAAUGAUCAAGUAGUAUUAUGGCAACUACCUCGCUGAUCAGGUAGAAACUUUUCAGACAGCUUAUCCUUGAAGGUAUCCAAGUCGUGCAUCAAGCAUUACUCUAUUGCCUUAUAGGUUGAAGUAAAGAAAUUAUAAGCAACAGUACUAACAACCAACAGUGGCGAGCCUCUUGCUCUUGCAAGAAUGUUUAUUGAACAAAGGAUCCUAACCUCCCUAGAAAAACUAACUAAGGCUCAUUCCCUUUGCUUGAGGCAUCAUAUUACGAACGACAUCAGAGUAGGUCAAUAACUGAAACUUAGAAGAAACGGUGAUACACAUGUUAACUAAUAGAGUGACAUUUGUCAGUUGUGAUUGAACUUAAGUAAUUCACAUAAGAGGAUUCAACUAAGAAGGAAGGAAGGAGCAAGUCAUAUCAAGUACUCCCUCCGUCCCAUAUUAAUAGUCGCUCAAACAGAUGUAACUAGCACUAAAAUACGUCUAGAUACAUCUUCGCAAUCAUACUUAAGACAUUGAUGUAUUCCUUCAUGGACACCGACUUAGUGUAUUUCAUUUUUUUCAAUCGAGAAGUUCUUCACUCGCCUUGACUGCCCCCUUGAAUGUGUAGACCGUUGAAUAGGUAGAUUGCCAUUGUAAACUUCGGCAGAUGCUGACCCAACGGUACAAGUAAUUGGCAAUGGUCAUGUGCAUGUAUGAUGAUCAAUAUUACAAGCAUGAAAUGACAAAGAAAACAACGAAGAAUAAAUAAAUAUUGUCAACCCAAACGACAUGUGGUUUUUCCAUUGGAACUUUUGCAUUACCAGAUUUGCUCAAUCGAAUGCUGCCCCAGGACGUGGUGUCGUUCAGGACAUGGUGUCUGCAUGGUUUGAGGCCGUGGCGUCUUAUCCAUGAAGUUCAAGGCCGUGGCGUCGUACGUAAGGUCCAGGCCGUCCCGGGCUCCCGACUGCUGUGCCUCGUAGUGCUGGAACAACGUGGCGUCUGGGUGGGGGCAUACUCUAGGGACCCAUGUCGAUACUUGGAAGCACGGAGAAACAGGCCUCGCCGGCCCCGCUUUCAAGAAGCGAUUUGAAAAGGAGGACAACAAGGAAUGUGUUGUGUAUACAGAAAGAUAGAUCGUUGUUGUAUAUAAUUGCGAUUUGAUUGAUGUUUAAUAUGCAUGGGAAGAGCGGAAAGAUAGGUAUUUUGUAGAGUAUAUGGAAAGUGUUGUUGUGUAUGAUUGUUGGAGGAUAUGAUUUCUUUUGUAUAUGGAAGGUUUGGUUUUUUUUUGGCAUGGGAGGUGUGAGAUGGAAAGAAAAUCGGUGUUGGAGAUGAAAACUGGGCGUGGUGGUCGAUGAAAGAAAAAUCGAUGGGAUGGACAUGGAGGCAGUUUUGUCGAUGGAUGGGGAGGGGUGGAGACGAACGAACAAAAUGACCUACUUAUUGCCCCUUUAGGAGUAGAGAUAUAGCUACAUGUAUAACCAUACAUCUCGUAAUUUGCACCUGGGUAUAAACCAAGGAAUUUCUCAUGUCAAAGAAAAGUGGACAUCUUCUUAACAUAAAGAGAAUGUAUUUUCAAGUAUCAUCUAUCCCAAUCACCAUCGGAGGCUCAACAAGACUUCUCGAAGCAUCAACGGAACUGACUUGGUCCUAUCCUCGAAAGAGGAUCCAGUGUUAGCAUUGAGUUGGCUAAGAAAAUCUACAAACUCACUUGUCAAUUUACCACCAAAGGGGGGAGAAGUCCCAUAUUUUUCAUGAAGAGGCAGUGCGGCCGUUUUCCUUGGUAAAAGGAAUGGCGAGCGGCCGUUGUCGGCAUCUGGGGCAACAUUUAGUGCGUAUGCGGCUCAGGUGGAAGAUGAAUGCCCCUAACGCAACGUUGCCAUUGCGCGGAGUGGUAAAUUCCCCUCUCCUCCACACCCUUCCCUUCCUCCCUUUUGUCCGUGGCCAUGGCAUGUUGCUCAGCCUCCAGAAAACUUGGUUGCGCAGGUGCAGGCUAUAGCGACAAAGCGCGAGUCUUGGGCACUUUUUGACUCGGGACCCACCGAUUCGCCACAUCUUAUAGUGAUGCUGCUCCACUCUGAUGGCGACGGCAGCGACUUCACUGUUUCUUUUUUUUGAAAUGGAGGUAUAUCCCCGGCCUCUGCAUCAUGAUGAUGCAUGCGGCCUUUUUAUUAAAAAUCUAGAAAGUAUUAUCACAAAGGUCUUACAGCUCGCAAACGAAGCAAAACAAAGCACAUAAAACUAAAAAUACAAUCGGACAAAGACAACCGGUACGGUGAUAAUAAGGACUUUUCAGCUCUCUAGACUCCUAUCCUGUUAUGCGAACGCCAUCCGAACCGGUUGAAUAUAGCCCAAGCCACCAUCUCCCACUGGUUGCACCCAGUAACCAAAGGCUCCCUAGAGUUCAUAGGAGUGAGUAAGGACCACGUACGGAUCCAAGCUGUAGCUCUGAAGAUAACCUGCAAAAAAGUUAAGUGGUGUUGUCUGGUAAAAAUCAUAUCAUUUCUGCAGUUCCAUAUAGCCCAUAAUAACGCACAUAUUCCAAUCCGAAUACGAGCUGCCGUGAUAUGUUCAACCCCAGCUAACCACGUCCCAAACAAAGACGCAAUAUCUACUGGGGGAUUGAUAUUAAAAGCUAUAUGAAUCGUUCCCCAAAAUAACUUGGCAAGUGGGAAUUCGAUAAAUAAAUGUUGUAUUGUCUCAUCUUGAGCACAAAAACAACACCGCGAGUUACCUACCCAUCGCCUCUUAAGUAAGUUGUCAUUUGUGAGUAUUACUUGCUUGUGGACAAACCACAUGAAAAUUUUAAUCCGCAAAGGAACCUUAACCAUCCAUAUAUGAAGUGACCUUGAGAUGGGGCCAGAAUUAAUCAGAUCCGUAUAAAAUGAUUUCACCGUAAAUAUCCCAUUUUUAGUUAACUUCCAUUGUGUGGAGUCCGGCACGUCGGAGGGUCGAACUUCAAUCAAUCUCCGAACCAAGUGCAUCCAGGUUGUCCAUCUCUCACCCACUAACGUACGUCUGAACUGGAUGUUCAAGGGAAUAGUUUGAAGGACGAUACCUACGUAAUCUUCCUUACGUUGCACAAUAUUGUAAAGGGUAGGAUAUUGUAAGGCCAGAGGUGUCUCUCCUAGCCACGUAUCCUCCCAAAAUCUUGUUGACAUCCCGUUGCCAAUCAAGAAUUUGACCCUACGAAAGAACUUAUCCUUCGUUCUCAUAAGUCCCUUCCAGAACGGUGAAUCAGUCGGUCUGAUGGUAACCUGGGCUAGCGUUUUCGAGUGCAAAUACUUAUUGCGCAGGAUUUGAGACCACAUGCCCUCCGGCUCUGUCUCUAACCUGUACAACCAUUUGCUCAUAAGGCAUUUAUUCUUAAUCUCCAAGUUCUCAAUACCAAGGCCCCCUUGGUCUUUAGGUCGACAAAGGAUAUCCCAUCGCGCGAGAUGGCAUUUCCUCUUGGCCUCAUCAGACUGCCAAAAGAAACGAGAUCUAAAGAAAUCAAGUCGCUUUCGGACCCUUUUCGGAAUUUCGAAGAACGAAAGUAAAAAACAUUGGCAUGCUAGUCAAUACUGAGUUAAUCAAAACUAGUCGACCUCCAUAUGACAUCAGCUUGCCCUUCCAGCAGCUGAGUUUUUUUUCAAUUCGUUCUUCAAUACAUUUCCAUUCCUUAUUGGAUAGUUUACGAUGAUGAAUCGGAAUACCCAAGUAACUGAAUGGUAAAGCACCUAAUUCGCAUCCAAACAAUUGUCUGUAAGUAUGUUCCUCGUCUUUGGCCUUCCCAAAACAGAACACCUCGCUCUUAUGAAAAUUGAUUUUUAAUCCAGACAAUUGUUCGAAUAGACAUAAGAUAAGUUUCAUGUUACGUGCCUUAGCCAUGUCAUGUUCCAUGAAAAGGAUAGUGUCAUCAGCAUAUUGUAGAAUGGACACCCCUCCAUCAACCAGAUGAGGAACUAGACCCUCUACAUGGCCAUGUUGCUUGGCCCUGCCAAUAAUUACGGCCAACAUAUCUGCCACAAUAUUGAACAGAAGAGGUGACAUGGAAUCCCCUUGUCUCAACUCCUUAUGCGUCUGGAAGUAGUGACCGAUGUCAUCGUUCACCUUAAUUCCGCCACUACCUUUCUGGACUUGAGUAUCCACCUGGUGCCUCCAGGUUUCACUAAAACCCUUCAUACGCAUUGCCAGCUGAAGAAAAGGCCAUUUUACUUUAUCAUAAGCCUUCUCGAAAUCCACUUUUAAGAUAACCCCGUCUAGUUUCUUCGAGUGAAUCUCAUGAAGUGUUUCAUGUAAGACAACCACUCCUUCGAGUAUGUGUCGUCCAGGCAUGAAAGCUGUCUGACUAGGUUGAACCACUGAGUGAGCAAUUUGUGUCAAUCUAUUGGUUCCUACCUUUGUGAACAUUUUAAAACUCACAUUCAGCAGGCAAAUGGGUCGAAAUUGUUCUAUCCGGACCGCCUCAUUCUUCUUCGGUAAUAACGUUAUCGUACCAAAGUUGAGGUGAAACAACUCCAAAUGGCCAUCGAAAAAAUCGUGAAACAUAGGCAUAAGAUCAUCUUUAAUGAUAUGCCAACAUUUCUUAUAGAAUUCAGCUGGAAACCCAUCUGGUCCCGGUGCUUUAUUCGGCUUCAUUUGAGUUAUGGCCAGAUGAACUUCUUUUUCAGUAAAUGGUGCCGAGAGAACAUCAUUCUCCGCUGCCUGUAAUUGAGGUAUAUCAUCAAUCACAAACUCAUCAAGAGACACCGUGGAAGUAUUCUGAGGUCCAAAAAGGCUUUUAUAAUAGUUGGAAAUAUACGCUUUCAGAUUUUCAUGCCCCACUAUUGUUCCCUCGUCCUAUUCAAGCUGUAUGAUCUUCUUCUUCCUAUGUUUACCAUUUGCAACCAUAUGGAAGAACUGUGUGUUGUCGUCCCCUUGGACAACCUUAAGCGUUUUCGCACACAACACCCACUUGAGUUCCUCCUCUCUCAAGAGAGCACGUAGGCCUUGCUCAGCCUCGGACUUGGUUCGAUGCUCAUUAACAGAAAGAAGAGUGGUUUCAGCCUUUACAUCUAGUGCCUCAAUGAGUUGAGUUAGACGUUCUUUUCUUUGCUUAUAAAUCCCACUCUCAUUCCUGGCCCAACCUCUUAGAAAUUGUCGGAGGUGUCUAAUCUUAUUCUGCCAUCUCUCGACAUGUGUCCUGCCCGUAACUGGCUUAGCCCAUUCGCGUGCAAUCAUCUCCAUAAAUCCUUCUCGCUCAAACCAGCUUUGCUCGAAGGAGAAGAUGUUUUUGUUUGCAACAUGGGUAGCCUCUCCCGAAUCUAAAAAGAGUGGUGUAUGAUCCGAGAUCGCUCUUUGCAUCGCAUGAACCGACACCAACGGAUAUUUUUGUUCCCACUCCACACUAGCAAGUACCCUAUCCAACUUUUCAUAAGUCGGAACAGGUAGCGAGUUGGCCCAUGUAAACUGUCUACCGGUGAGCUCAAUUUCUCUCAAAUUGAGGCUCUCGAUAAUCAUGUUAAACAUCAUAGACCAACGUCCAUCGAAAUUGUCAUUAUUNNNNNNNNNNNNNNNNNNNNNNNNNNNNNNNNNNNNNNNNNNNNNNNNNNNNNNNNNNNNNNNNNNNNNNNNNNNNNNNNNNNNNNNNNNNNNNNNNNNNNNNNNNNNNNNNNNNNNNNNNNNNNNNNNNNNNNNNNNNNNNNNNNNNNNNNNNNNNNNNNNNNNNNNNNNNNNNNNNNNNNNNNNNNNNNNNNNNNNNNNNNNNNNNNNNNNNNNNNNNNNNNNNNNNNNNNNNNNNNNNNNNNNNNNNNNNNNNNNNNNNNNNNNNNNNNNNNNNNNNNNNNNNNNNNNNNNNNNNNNNNNNNNNNNNNNNNNNNNNNNNNNNNNNNNNNNAGUGGCAGAUUUUCAUCUCCACAAAUCCGCACUAAAUCGGCAAGAAAAUUGGGUUUAAAUUCAGGUUGCGCUGCCCCAUAUACUGCAACUAGCGACCAUCGGAACCCAUCCAAUUUUGAUCUCACCCUGAAUUUAACCGAAAAGUCUCCCAGCACCACAUUAAGCACCUCUAACGUCUCACACCAUACUCCUAGUAAAAUCCCGCUGGAUCUUCCUCUAGGAGGUAAAAUGUGCCAGUCAAAAUCGAUACCACUGGAAAGGGUUUGGAGGAAUUGGGAUGUGAAAUUAUCUCGUCCAGUUUCCAAAAGUGCAAUGAAAUCUAAGUGAUGCUCUAAAGUUGUCUCUGCUAAGAAUCUUUGUUUAGCCAAGUCUGCUAGACCUCUGCUAUUCCAAUUCUAAGACAAUAAUAUCUUUGUUUCAUGAGCAACUAAAUUCCAAGACAUUUAGGAGCUCUGCUCGACCUUUGUAAGAAAUGUACCACAAUAUUUGCUAUAAUGAUAUUACUACAUCUAUGUUUUUCAGAAGUACAAUCAAAAUCAAAAUUAACAAACCACAUCAUGGUCACUAUACAAUCAAUGCUCUUGUAAGGUUGCAGGUUCAGUUAAGCCACUACUUAACUCGAACUGAAACAAUCAUGUUUGCCUUUCCUCUUUGAAGUACCAAAUUUGCAGCCUCUAUUUUACGCAUUGGUUGUUGAUGCAGUAGCAGCAGCACCACCAUCACAUUAGAAGAGGUGCGGUGCAUUACUGAACUGAAGUCAAACAGUACAGGACAUACACAUUGGAUGGGUCAGUGCAAAUUCACCUGCCACUAGACAUGCUUCUUUUUAUCUUCCAGACACAGUAGCGGUGGCAAGCACAUACACAUGCACCAACAGUGGCAGCAAAUAUGCACAUGUAUCUAUAGUGAUGUCCCUUUUGGUUUCCUUUAGUCUUCCAGACACAACAGCGGUAGCAAGCGCAUAUGCACGCAUCGACAGAUAACGAAUGUUUCUACUACACAAUAUCUACUGUGACUUGUUGUUGCUCUUUGUCUCCUAUAACAUUGAAAGUUAUUUUUUAAAAUCAAAGCUUAUGCAAGAAAACAAUGUAAAGAUCAUUUCGAAAAUCAAAGGCAUACACUGAAAAUAUAUAUUUAAGAUGAUUCUUCAAACCAGAUAGUAGGAGUGUAUAUCCGAAGGGAAAAUAAAAGAGUUCUACCAUCGACAAUUCAUGCACCUCUAAAAAAUGAAUUCAAAUGUGCAUGCCCUACAUGAUAUUGCACUGAAAAUAUAGGAAGAUGGAGGGCAAGACAGGAGAGCAUUAUCACCCAUUAAUUCAAGGCCACCCUGUGUGUAAUUAAGUUGCUACGUGUCUGCAUAAAUAUUCAUCAUUUAUAAAACUAUAGGAAAGCUAACCUUUGAUUGAAAAAUGUAAAUGCCGCAAUGUGAGCUAGCACGUGCAAUUGUUCAUCUCCUCUCCAUAAGACAUGCAAAUUGGCUGAAGUGAGCAUCAAUUUUCUUCUAGAAAAACUACACUGAAAGCUUCAUGGAAAGCCCAUUUGCAUGAAGCUUUCAGUUUGUGUUGCAUGGUACUUCAGUGUAAGAUAACUAUCGAGCAAUUUUCAUGAAGCUUUCAGUUUGUGUUGCAUGGAUUAGAAAAAAUCCAACAAUAUAUAACUGCAACCAUGCAUAUGCAUGUAACGUAACUGCAACCAUGCAUUCAGAUACUCUCACUGUAGCAACUGGGAUAGAUUAACACCUGAAUGCACAUGUUGUUUCAUUAACCAAAAAUGAUGGAGACGGUGUUGUAGCAAAAUAAAUCAAAUAGGUAAUUAAACAAGAGAAAAUGCUUUUGGAGGCUGCAAAAUUCAAAAUUCAUGAAAAUUCAUCAUUUAAAAAUGUUCUGAAAAACAUACUAUACAUGAAGGCAUAAAGCACAAGUGUGUAAAUUUUUAUGACGAAAUACAUUCAAAUAAGGGUUGUACAAAAAAAUCUAGGGCUUUUAACACAUAAUACUAUUCAUAUUCAUCCUCUCAAACAAUAAAUUUGUCUUUUUUUGUAGACGUCGCAUUUUAACGUAUUUCAUCCUGAAAUUUUACACAUAUACACCUCACAUCCUGUUUACUUGUACAAAAUUUCAGAUUUUUUGGAAACAAAAAAUUUUGAAUUGAUGUAAAAAAUCUGCCUCCUUUGUGGCCAGGAGCCAAAACGCCCCACUCAUUAAACAAUAUGUCGAUGGUCCUUUGAAUAUAUAUAUCCACUUUAUAAAUUUGUUUGCCAAGAUCCAAAAUGCCCUACUCAUUAAAGAAUAUGUCGAAAAUCCUUCGAAUAUAUACCCACUUUAUAAAAAAACUAAUGAUAUGGUAGCGACCAAACAUCGGUCGUUUACACAUUGUUUGCACUGGUUGAAUACUACAUGCAGCAUCUUGUGCUCCCCAGUUCAUCCCCUCCUCCGACUCUUGUGACCCCCUCCAAGGCUAAUCUAUCCUCCACCCCGCACACCGUCACACGUGUCGCCCCACCCCACCCUGCCCACAGAUGUUAGAAAUUUAAUCUCGCAAUCUUAAAUACUAUAUGAAAGUCAACAACUUAAAAUCAAAAUAAUAGGUUGGAUCCUUGCUUAACAAUAAGACUGGUAGCUACCAUUGUUGGGUAAUCUGCAUAUAUUUGUGAUAUAUAUGCAGCAGUCAACACAGACCUACACAAAGGUAAAUUCAUUAUAACCAUUAAAAAAUGAUGUAGAUUGUCUAAUGUGGAAUAGAUCACAUGAUAUGUUCUCUUUUUAUGGAAGUCCGUCGGUGGCCUAAAAGAACUUCAUUAUGACCAUUUCUUGUUUAAAAAAUUGAUAUAUCCGACAUCUAAGAAGAUCAGCACAUAAUACUGUAUGCAUCUGUUUGAGCUAGUGAUGCAGCUCAGCAAGUAGAUUGCAUAUGUCUGCUGCUUUUGUUUCACUUUGCUAAUUUUUUAUGUGCAAAACCAAUUUAUCUGUAUAUCAAAGACCAAUUUUCACUGUAUAUUUUGGAACUUACCACAAAUCGCAGGUCGAAUACGUGGCGCCAUGUCGGGGAAAUGACACCUAUGGAUCACUGGGAUCCCUUCUACGGUUGGCGGGCGCAGGGUUGUGAGAAGAGCAGGUCUAAUAGGAAGCACACAGAUCGUUUACCCAGGUUCGGGCCGCGAGGAUGCGUAACACCCUAGUCCUGCUUUGGUGGAUGUAUUGAGUGUUCUUGUGUUCUUGAGCUAGCUACGAGGGUGUAACUUGCCCAAAAGAGCCGAAUCCUUCUCCUGGUCGCCUCGGGCCUCCUUUUAUAGGCAAAAGGGGUCGUCACAGUGGCACACAGGAAGUGGAAAGGUGUACAGCGCGCGAGCUUAUCGCCCGGCGUUACGAGACAAAGUGCAUUAAAUGCGCUACUUAGGUGUCCAUUAGCUUUAUCAGGGACGGGAACGAGGCCCGUCCCUUCCGUCGCCGCUCCGCCCUGCUUCGACACGCGCCCAGGCCAGCGAUGCAUGCGGUGCCAUGUAGGCAGGCAGGCAGCUUAGGUGGCGCGGUGGCAGGGCAUUCACAAAGAUCUGCAUGCCACCACGCAGGUGCUUGCUGAGUUGGUGUAGAGGCCACUCGUCGCCACGCAGGUGCCUGCCCCGCUGGUUGAGCUAGCUGCUGCUUGGGGAACGGCGGUGGAGUCUUGACUGGUGCGGGCCUGGCAAUGGCCCUGCUGAUGCCCUCGGCAAGGGUCUUGCCGGGGGCUCGACAAGGGUCUUGCCGUGGCGUGGCAGUCGUUCUGGCAAGGCGCUUGCCGGGGGUCUUGUGGAUCUCCUCGGCUAGGAUCCCGCUGAGGGUCGCCGUCUUGUGGUCCUCAUCUGAUCUUGUGUGUUCAUGAUCUUGACGAAGAUCUGUAUGCCACCAAAGAGGCGCCUCCCGAGCCCUGGUUCCAAUGUAGUUGGUUGGCUGGUGUUGGAACCCACGGGCUCUAGGGUGGCCUGCUCUGCUGGCAUCGGGCAAGUUGCCCCGGCAAGGCUCUUGCCGGGGCCGCGGAGAAAUGCUUGUCCUUUCAAUCGUACAAAAAAUUAUUUGGACAAUAAUCUGACCUACUUGUCCUGAAGCAUUGCCACUCGCAUGUUCUGGUGGCUCCGCAGUCACCUCGUCACGCCCAUGAGUACUCAGACCGUCACACCAUUUAGAUUCAUCUUCAGAAAAAAAAACUCUCUUUUAGUAAUGCAGAGCACAUUCCAAUCUAAAAACUAAAUCACGAACUCUGCAUUUUCUGCUAAUCUAAUACUCCCCAUAAUGGUCUCCCCCCAUCCCAACUUCGUGAAUUACUUAAUGACCUGCAUCAACAAAAAUACUGUGUCUACAACUCUUCAUUCAUUAGUUUAGAUUUCACUCUAAACCUGGAACAGUAUGAAUCUGCAUACCUUCUCAUCAUCCCAGGAACCCUCCCUUCCAGCAAUCACCACGGCAUCCAUAUCAUAGAACUGAUGGGUUUGUGAUUGUAUUUAUGACAUUUUUACGCUGAAAAGAACACAAUAAUACAGGUCAUAGUAUAAGAAAAUUACAAUACAUGGAAGCAUGUCAACUUCUGAUACUGUUUCAGUUAAAUUUUACUAAGGUAGAAAUAAAGCUCACAUAGUUAUCCACGAAAUUUUGUAGUUCAAACUGAGCCUUAGCAUCACCGCUUGUAUAGAAAAAGUCGCAUCAACAGUUAUUUUCAUGAAGGAUCUGGUAAUUUUGAAAAAAAGGAGCAUUACCAUCAAAACAUAACAGAGUUGGCUUUAAAUCAGAAAAUGUCCUUUGUGCAAGAACUUCUAGGAAUAAAUCCUAGCAUGCAAGCUUCCACAUAAUGUGCUUAAAGAUUCAGACAAUUUACCGCUAUCAUCAGCAUCGUUAUCCAAUGCAGUUUUCCCAAGUAAGCAAGUUACCAUUUCUUCCAUAGCUUCUGCAAACUCUGUGUACAUUUGAUCACAAUGAAUAAUGAGUGUACUAUUACAUGAGCACAUGCUCUCCAUUAGAAGUGACUUGGGCACCAUUAUUUUGUUAAAAAAACUAUAUCGAAUAAAUGUUAGAGCACACCAUAUACGAUGUUUUCUUACAGGGUCGAUACGACGUUAUAUGCUUAAGUUCCUAAUAUUCAUAACAAGUAGGAAAAACUCCCAGCCAAACGAUGUACACAUGAAAGAAACAACACACUUUUUUGGCAUUUGCUAAAUAACCAGGGGAGUACAUACAAAACAUAAGAUGUGUUGGAGCUUCAAGGUCCAACAGUAUAUAUAUUGCCUUUUGCUUACAUGAUCAAAGGAGAAUGUAGCAUAGGACAACAAUGUAACUGCAUGAGAAAGAACUUAGUACCGUCCCCCGCUCACAAAUUGCAAAUUUCUGAAACUUCUCACAAAUCACAAUAGUUUGCAUGGGAUCUCCAAUGCGUGGGUAACUAAACCACGAGGUUACUAUUCCAAACAUCUCUACCUUCACUUUCUAAUUACAUGCUUGAUCAACUAAGAGAUGAUUUUGAAUUAGCUUGUGCUAUUCCCUUGAGAAUCCUUUUGUGCAAAUGGAAUCAAUCAUCAAUCAUAUCAGAAAGAGAAAAAACAUGAAACGAGAUUAUUUCAAUGGCGAGCAAAGCUUUACUUGGUCCAAGAAGUGGUGAUUGCCGACCUCCUCCCUGAAGUCGAGCACCGCCAUGACGGCGCCUACGGUGAGCAUGUCAGUGCCGGCGUCCCGGAGAAGCGGGCUCUCCUUCCACAUGGACACAACAACACCAGUUACAUCAGAGGCCAACCAAGUGAAUGACCCUGCAGCGCUGCUCUUGACGGUGAGAUCUUCCUGGCACUUCCAAUGAUAGUAACUGAACCAACUAAAUAAAAAUUAAUUACCAUUCCCACUAUUGCCUAAAUCUCAAGUACUAUUCUUGGAGUAUUGCAGGAGUAAGACCGACAUGAUUUAAACGUGUGGGCAUACAGUACGUUGGGUGCCGGAAUUGAUACAGAACUUGCUGGCGGCGUCGAUGAAUCCUAAUGUGAUGAGGAAAUUCAUGGCAAUGCAAGCAGAUCUUGACAUCGCAGCUUCCGCUCCCACUCGUGGCGUAUCAAAUUAGGAUUGAGAGGUCCUGGACGUGGGCGAGGAAGGCCGUCAUCGUAGGGGCACGCAGCUCACGGCGACGAGCUCCAAGACGCGGCCAUGGCGGCACCUGCAGAGAGGAGCGACAUGCAGUUCAGAGGAGAUAGAGAGGUUGGGGAAAAGAAGAGAAGGGAGAGAGGGAGGCACGGCGGCGGGAUCCAGCUGGCUGCUCCCGGCGAGGUCAAGAAAGUGCUCGGGCGAGGUCAGACGGGAACACGCAGUCAGGGUGAGUUGAGUCGUGGGUGGGCAGCCUGUGAGUGAACCGAUCGUGGGGAGGUGAAAAAAACAGACAAGAAAACCAUACGGAAAAAACCCAGCGAAGAUGGUGGUGGGAGGUGGGACGAAAAAAACCAGGACGAAGACUACCAACUGCUCCAUUAAAAAUAGAGAUGAUUCAUUAGAAGUAGAGAUUCAUUAGACUUCGUAUCAACGGAUUGUUCCUCUUCGACACAAUGAUAUUCUUUGGCAUGAGCUAAUCACUUCCGAUUAGCUUUCAGCGACCUGCUGGGAUAAGAUUCUCGCUGGAUCCGCUAAAUAUAUUGCGCCAAGGAGGGCAGGCGGUGGCGCGGUCGCACUGAUACACCAGCACAGGUGAGCGGUCGCGAAUUGAACCAAGUAGCCUUCUGACCUGAGUGAAGCAACGCGGCGCAACAAAUACUAAGGAGCAGAACUUGGGUGCAUUAGUGUUGUACGUUGUAGUGCAGGUUUGGCCAUGAACUAUGUUGCCUAGUCUAGGACCAGUUCAGCUAGAUAUGCAUCUGCCAUAAAUACAUUUUGUGUGAAAAAAUAUUUUGGUCGGAUUGGUUGGGUUAGUGAGAAAAUAAAUUAAGCUUUUGGUCUCCGAGUCACCAUCGUACGCUUGUUCGUGAUAUAAUAAUAUACGUCCUAGAGAAAAGCUUAAUCCGUCUUUCGACCAUUUAAAUUUCAUUGUGGCUUCAUACGGAUCAAUUUGCAGUCAAGCUAUGAUUUUGAUUAUUUUAUUUUUUUAUAGUAUUCCAGAUGGAUUUCCGUCUUAAUCUUUUUAAAAUUGCUGAGCAUUUAUUAUCAUAUAUUCUAGGCCAUGCUAGUAUGUUGUAGUUGUAGCAAAUGUUGUAGCACAUCAGAGCUUUGACCAACCACACAAAUGCAAUUCUAAUCUUCUGAAUGUUGCUUAACAGGUAUAUUGAUUUAGAAUAAAUGAAUGUACUGCUCAUUCUCUCUUUGAAUAGUAUACAAUACUUGAUGUUUUAAAACAAAAUGUCAUAUUGUUCAUACGUAUCGAUCGUAUCAUAUAUAAAAAUGAUGAGUAUGUUGUAUUCACAGAGUUCACUAACUAAACAACAUCUACUCCUUUCUUAUGAGCAUAUACUCUAGCUCAUUUCUGUGGAUAAAUUACUGUCCCAAAAAUUUACUGGCAAGGGUCCUUCCUCUCUUGGGUCUUGUUUGGCAUAAUUGACCUUCCAGUUGACGACUUGUGUCCUCAAAUUUUACAUCAGUACCUUUGGUCUUGAUGUUGUUAUACCUUUUACUCGAACUUCGUGUCAUCCUUGUGGCUGCACUAAUGAUACUUUUAUCCUUGGUGUUACGAACAUCUGACCCUUCAUGUUCAACUUUUAUCUUUUUUCUUUUGCAUGAACACUUCUUGUAUUUUUGGGCCCUGCUUUUUCAGAUUUACUUUUUCCAUUUUCUUCAUCUUCUGAGUCUGAUAAUACAACAGAUCUUCGCCUCCUUUUCCUGCCAUCGACACUUGUUGAUGACUUUUUAUGUUGAUGCUCCUUCUGAUGUACUGUACUCCCAUUUCUUUUAACUUUUGGCUCCUCUUUCACAGGGACCAAUUGACUUGCAUUUUUGCUAAGUUCACAUUUCUAAUUUGUACCUGCAAAAAUCAAAUUAACGGAUGAAUUUAUGAAAAGAAAAGUUCGGACGGUGAAGUAUUCAACCGCCUUUUUAACUGGCUCAUUCAGUUUCUUUUGUUUCCUGUUUUAACAUGUUUUCCACUUCAGCACCCAUCAAAUCCUGUUGAGCACAAUGGUUCAAGAACUGUAAAUACCUGCUUCAAUAGUUCAAUAUAAAAGAGUAUAAUAAUUGUUGUUUAAAUAGAUUUGAUUGUUUAAUAGACCGUUACCUCUUUAGCUUUAUCAAGUAUCUCUUCUCAAGCUUCUCAUCCGGCACAAAUAUUUUCUUUACUGCAUAGUUCUGCAUGCCUAGAUUGAGGUUCUUAUUGUUGAGUUUGAAUCGAAAGGUAAGUCUUUGUCCACAUAAUUCUUGUAUAAUUUUUAGGACUUCUUCAGAUUUUUCAUCUAAGGAAUCCAACAGGAAUGAGACUGACGUAUUGAGCAUUCUUUCAACCUUUUCAUCAAAUAAAGUGCAACUUGUAGUGGCAUUGUGAUCACUAAUUUGAAGCCGAAUGCGAUACCUAGAAUCACAUUUCAUUAGUGUAACGCAAAUGUAAUAGUACAUAAUGAUGGUCAAAUCAAUAGAAUAUGCUUACCUAGGUGUUACACCUUCUGGAUACGUAUCACAAUUCUUGCAAUAAUAAUUAUGCGAUUCUUUCAUAGCAAUUUUGUUGCAAACAUCGCAUGACACGUACUACCAUUGAAUAUUUUCUUGUAACCGAUCAAUUGUAGCUAUUGUUCUGAAUACAAAGUACUGAAAGUUGAUGAAGAAAAUAUAGCACUUCAAAAAAUACAGAGGCACUCAUACAAAUAUGUCAAAUACAUCUAUAGGUCUUGGAGGCUUCUACAAUAUCAUAUCUUAGAAGAGUUCUGAUUCAUUACCUCAUCUGUUGGGUUGUAGUGCCUGAUUCCAGUAAGUUCUUUUAAGGUUAUCCUUCUGUAGAACAUUUGAUCUUCCAGUGUACCUUGAGUACUUUUAUCUAUCUCCAUCAUUUUUGGUAGAGUUUCUUCGGGGGAGCGCCUAUAAGUCAAAGUUAGUAAAUGAAGAUAUAUUAUGAACUUCUAUAUCACCAGUACCUAAAAAUUGUGCUUAAUACCUCCCACAAAGUUCCCAAGUCUCGGGUAUAUCUAGAUUGGUAUAUAAUCUCGUGGCGCUAGUUGUCUUUAGGCACAAACCUAUUUAAUGAGCAAUAAAUCUAUUAGAUUUAUUAUUUUGGUAUAAAAAUGACGUGUAAACAUACUAAGCUUACCAUUGAAUUUUUGCACCAUUGUUGAGGUAACAAUAAUAGUUGUUUCAUUGCAAAUUACUGAUGACCCACAAGUAUAGGGGAUCGCAAAAGGUUUCGAGGGUAGAGUAUUCAAUCCAAAUUUAUAGAUUCGACACAAGGGGAGCCAAAGAAUAUUUGUAAGUAUUAGCAGCUGAGUUGUCAAUUCAACCACACCUGGAGAUUAAUAAUCUGCAGCAAAGUGAUCAGUAACAAAGUAGUAUGAUAGUUUUGAUAAUAGUAGCAGUAGCAAUAGUAACGGUAACAGUGAUAGCAGUGAUUUAGUAGCAAGUGUAACAGUAACAAUAGCAGUAGUAACUUAGCAGAAACAAUAUAAGAUAAAUUCAUAGGCAUUGGAUCGGUGAUUUGUUGGAUGAUAUUCAUCAUGUGACAGUCAUAACCUAGGGUGAUACGACACUAGCUCCAAUUCAUAAAUAUAAUGUAGGCAUGUAUUCCGUAAAUAGUCAUACAUGCUUAUGGAAAGAACUUGCAUGACAUCUUUUAUCCUACCCUCCCGUGGCAACGGGGUCCUAUUGGAAACUAAGGGAUAUUAAGGCCUCCUUUUAAUAGAGAACCGGACCAAAGCAUUAAUACACGGUGAAUACAUGAACUCCUCAAACUACGGUCAUCACCGGGAGAGGUCCCGACUAUUGUCACUCCGGGGUUGUCGGAUCAUAACACGUAGUAGCUGACUAUAACUUGCAAGAUUGGAUCUAGAACAUGGAUAUAAUGGUGAUAACAUAAACGGCUCAGAUCUGAAAUCAUGGCACCCAGGCCCAAAGUGACAAGAAUUAAGCAUAUCAAAGUCAUAGCAACAUCAAUCUCAGAAGAUAGUGGAUACUAGGGAUCAAGCCCUAACAAAACAAACUAGAUUACAUGAUGAGUCUCAUCCAACUCCUCACCGACCAGCGAGCCUACAAAGGAAUUACUCACUCCCGGCGGGGAGCAUUAUGGAAUUGGCGAUGGAAAAGGGUUGGUGAUGACAAAGAUCAAAGACCCCCCUCUCCGGAGCCCCAAGCGGACUCCAGAUCUGGCCUCCCAAUGAAGAACAGGAGGUGACGGCGGCUUCAUCUCGUGGAACAUGAUAAUUCUUUCUCCCUGAUUUUUUAUGGAAAAAUAGGAUUUUAUAGCGUCGGUUUCAGGGUCUGCGGGGCCACCAGGUGGGGACAACCCACCUGGGCGCGCCUGGAGGGGGGCGCGCCCUGGUGGGUUGUGCCUACCCAGGUGCCCCCCUCCGGUGGUUCUUGGCUCCAGAAAUUCUCUUUUAUUGUAUAAAAAAUCCUUGCAAAGUUUCGUUCCAUUCCGAGAACUUUCAUUUCAACACAAAAAACAACACCAUGGUAGUUCUGCUAAAAACAGCGUCAGUCCGGGUUAGUUUCAUUCAAAUCAUGCAAAUUAGAGUCCAAAACAAGAGGAAAAGCAUUAGGAAAAGUAGAUACGACGGAGACGUAUCAACUCCCCCAAGCUUAAACAUUUGCUUGUCCUAAAGCAAUUCAGUUGAUAAACUUAAAGUGAAAAAGAAAAACUUUUACGAACUCUUUUGCUCUUGUUUGCAUAAAUAGGCUUAAACAACACCCAUGUUUUUAGCCAAUAUUAUAACUAACCAUGCCGACAAUAACUCUUAAAAAUUAUAUUAACUCAUAUCAAUGACAUAAUCAGCUAGCGAGCAAUAAUAAGAUAUCUCAAACAGCAACACGUUAUCAAAACAACCAUGGUAAAAUAUGACAAUAGUGGUAUCUCGCUAGCCCUUUCUGAGACUGCAAAACAUAAAUGCAAAGCACCUCCAAAGUUCAAGCAGCGACUAAACAUUUUAAUUCAUGGUAGAAAAGAUCCAGCCAUGAUGCACCAACAUUAGCUACACACAAUGCAUAAGCAUGACACAAUGCUCUCAGGUUCUGGCGUUUAUUUUAGAAGGUGGUGACAAAACAUAAAAGUAAAUAGAUAGUCCCUUCGCAGAGGGAAGCAGUGAUUUGCAGAGGUGCCAGAGCUCAAGUUUUUGAAAGAGUGGUAAAUGAUAUUUUGAGAAAUGCACCCUUCUUGUUUACUUUGCGACCGUCAGUUAUCAAUAUCUUCCAUGCUAAACACAUUAGUAGCGGUUCCCAAGCGAUAAAAGUAAAGGUUAUGACUCCGUAGGAGUUUUUGUUUGAUUAUUUGUAAGCUCUUUUCUGUUUGCAGUUUGGGACUGGGGAUCCCUAUUACCACCCCUUUCUCGUGCGAUGGCGAGUGAAUAAACACUCGACCUAAGAAUAAUCCGCUUAGCAUGGAAGAUACCGACUACCUCUUGUCGUUCCAUGAACGAUCCAGGCACACAAAAAGGAUAUUUAUUUGAAGUUUUUAGAGAUGGCACAUGCAAAUUUACUUAGGACGGCAGGGUAAUACCGCAUAUAGGUAGGUACGGUGGACUCAUCUGGAAUAACUUGGGUUCAAGGUUUUUGAUGUACAAGCGGAAAUCGCACUUAGUACAGGCAAAGGCUAGCAAAUAGGUUGAGAAGCGGUUAGCUAGAGAGCAACAAUGGUCAUGAACAUGCAUUAUGCAUAAGUAACAUUGGACACUAGCAUGAGUAGGAUAUGAACACCAUGAACAUAAAUAUCAUAGAGGUUAUGUUGGUUUUGAUUCAACUACAGGCAUGAACAUGUGCCAAGUCAAGCCACUCAAACAUUCAGAGGAGGAUACCAUAUCAUCAUACUACAUCACAAUCAUUUUAACGCAAUGUUGACAUCCAAGAUAAGUCAUUAUCCAAUCCCAGCUACUUAUGCAUGGCAUGAGAAACUAUAAUCUCUAAUUUUCAUUGCAAACAUGUUUAAUCACAACAGGCUGAAUCAUGGAUACUAGGUUAAACAUAUUUAGAAAAAACAGAACUAGUUGAGUUCAUACCCGUUUCUCUCUGCCACGGCCAGUUCAUCAAAUUUCGUCAUUAUUGCCUUUCACUUGCAUGACCGAACGAUAUGAAAAUAAUAAUAGUGCAAGAGUGUUGUGGAUUAAGUUGCAGUCUGCAAACAUUUUAUUCAACAGGAGAAGAGAAGGUAAAAUGGGCUCUCUUAGAUCAACAAUAAUGCAUAUGAGAGCCACUCAACAUUUUCAUCGUGGUCUUCUCCUCGGUACGACUCAAUAAAAAGAAAAGAAAUUCAGAGAAACACACUGAAAUAUUUUUAGAGUUUUUGGUCUUAUCUGAAAGAAGCAAAUAAAAAGGAAAAACAAAAAUGAGAAAAACUAUUUACAGGGGAAAGCUCCCAACAAGCAAAAGAAGAACAUGGAAAUCCUUUUUGGGUUUUCUUUUUAGUGCUACAACUAACUACUCUAGAAAGAAAAAUAAAAAAGAAGCAGGAAAUAUUUUGUAUUUUCUCAAAGUUUUUCAAACACACAAGAAAAAAGCGAGAAAAUAAAUUAAGCAUGGAUAAUACAAUGAAAAAGUAUGAGCACCGACAAAUGAAAUGUGUGAACAUGAAUGUAAUGUCAGUGGGAAUACGUACUCCCCCAAGCUUAGGCUUUUGGCCUAACUUGGUAAUCAGUAGUCGAAGAAACCAUGGGGUCCCACGUCGAAGUGCUAUGGAGCGGGUUCCUGUGGAUCCCACUGCUGAGGCUCCACAUGUGCUGUAGCUAGGUUGUUCCCGUAAGCGAUGAUGUCCGCAGGCAUAAUCCUGUAUCCACCCCUGGCAAUAGGAUCAAACAAGGCAGGUCCAGGCAAUGGAAAAAUAUCACGAGUUUUCACACUGAAAACCAGGUUAUAAGGAAUAGGAAUGUCAGGGUAGCCGGCAGCAAUAAACUGGUGCUAUUCCAUAGCAGCGCGAUCUAGGCGAACCUUGGGCAAAGUGUAAUCAUGCUGGCGUAUCUGAAUGUUAAAAGGAUUAGCCAAGUGAGUAGCGUAAAUACCACCAUGUAUUUUGCCCUUAGAUUUAUUAAUAUGGAGGCGGUGUGCCACAAUAGCUCCCAAGCUAUAAGUGUUGUCGCCUUCAAGUGCACGACAUAAAACAGCAAGGUCUGGGGCACUGAGUGCACCCACCUUCUCUCUAUCAAGCAGGCUCUUUGCAAUGAAAAGAGCAAAAUAAUGAAUAGUAGGAAAGUCCAAGCUAGUGGCGGUGACACUCGAUACUCCUCUCUCAUCCCCCAUAGACAGAGUACGAUAAAAUCCUUCAAACUCUGCAGGCCUAGGCUCUACCAAACCACCAUCAGAAGGAAGCAAGCAUAUUUCACAGAACUCGGUAAGAGGUAUGUGAUGGGGUUCAGAGUAUAAUUUAAACUGCACUUCAGGGGGAUUAUUCCUAGGAAGGAAAUUAAAACUUUUUACAAAGGAGUUUGUGAGGAGAUGAUACUGUUCACAUUCAGCUGCGAUGAAGUCAGUGAGGCCGGCAUUAGCAGCAUAUUGUGUAAACUCCUGAAGGAUUCCGGACCCUUCCAUGAACGGGGUAUGUGGCCAUUCGCACGGCCGUAGCUCCACCAAUCUCUGGGUGCGGAGAUCACUGUCAGAUGACUCCCCGACCACUCCCGUGGAGUUCUUCUUGGAAGAAAACUUCCUAAAGAUACUCAUGUUUUUCCUAUGAACAAAAAUUCUGAAAUUUUUAGUCCAUAAAAUUUUCCCAACAAAACUUUACAAGAUUGGUAGCAACUACUCAUAGGGAUGCAUAGAGGCCAUAGCAACCAUCCAAACUACUUAAAACUCUAAGAAUUCAACAUGCAAGCUCAUCUACAGUAGCACCAAGAGUAGCUAAUUAUUCAAAAUAUAAUCCACUAAAGCAAAAACUAAUUGGACAAACGGAGCAGUCACAUACCAAGCAACAAUUCCCCGAAACAGUUUCGAAAACGGAGCUUCGAGCAAAGAGAUCGAAAUCCGCGUGUUUGAGAGCAAGAACACGAGAGAAAGAGAGAGAGAGAGAGAGAGAGAGAGAGAGAGAGAGAUAGAGAGAGAGAGAGAGCAAUGGUGAUUUUUUUCUGGAGGUAGGUGAUGAUGUGGGAUGAAGAGAUAAGUGAGGGGGCUCACGUGGGGACCACAACCCACCAGGGUGCGCCUGGGGGUCCUGGCGCGUCCAGGUGGGUUGUGCCCACCUGGUGCACCUCCAUCUCAUAUUAUUUGCAACACAAAUUCUUAAAUAUUCAGAAAAAAAUCGUAUUAAAUUUUCAGAGUAUUAUGAGAACUUUUAUUUUUGGGUCAAUCUUUAUUGUACGGGAAAAUCAGAAAACAGGCAAAACAUGGUAUUUUAUUUUAUUUAACUAAUAAAAACAUAAAACAAAAGGUUGGGACAGAAGGUAGUGCUCACUAAAUUCAUCAACUUCAUACCUCUAAAAAAUGAUCCAUUAAUAAGGUUGAUCAAGUCUUAUUAACAACCACUUUCGAUUAGCAUGAAACCGAAGAACUUUCGUAAAUCACUAAGUUACCUCAAUGGGGAUAUGAAUGUCCCCAACAAUAAGCAUUUCAUAUUUCUUUUUGACAGUAGGUAGAGGUAGUUGAAAACUCCCAAUAGUGAUUGUCGAAGAUUUUUCAAUAACAUUAAUACCAUUCACUUGGAAUUGUUUCUUCGGAAAGUGCACCGUAUGCUCAUUACCAUUGAUAUGAAAAGUGACCUUGCUUUUAUUGCAGUCAAUAACAGCCCCUGCAGUAUUCAAGAAGGGUCUACCAAGGAUAAUCGACAUGUUGUCGUCCUCGGGCAUCUCAAGUAUAACAAAGUCAGUCAAAAUAGUAACAUUAGCAACAACAAUGGGCACAUCCUCACAAAUACCGAUAGGUAUGGCAGUUGAUUUGUCAGCCAUUUGCAAAGAUAUUUUAGUAGGUGUGAUUUCAUUCAAAUCAAGUAUUUUAUAUAAAUAGAAAGGCAUAACACUAACACCAGCUCCCAAAUCACAUAAAGCAGUUUUCACAUAAUUUGUUUUGAUGGAGCAAGGUAUAGUUGGUAUUCCCGGAUCUCCAAGUUUUUGAGGUACUCCAUCUUUAAAGGUAUAAUUAGUAAGCAUAGUGGAGAUUUCAGCUUCCGGUAUUUUCCUCUUAUUGGUGAUGAUAUCCUUCAUGUACUUUGCAUAAGGAGGCAUUUUAAGGAUAUCAGUCAAGCGAGUUCGCAAAAAGACUGGCCUCUGCAUUUCAGCAAAGCGUUCAAAUUCUUCAUCAUCUUUCUUUUUAGUUGACUUAGGUGGAAAGGGCAUAGGUUUUUAAACCCAUGGUUCUCUUUCUUUACCGUGUUUCUUAGCAACAAAGUCUCUUUUAUCAUAUAUUUUAUUCUUGGGUUGUGGGUUAUCAAGAUCAACUUCUGGUUCUAUCUCAACAUCAUUGUCUGGUUGUUUAUUAUUUGUUUGAGUGUCUUCAUGAACAUCAUCAUUAUCUUUUUCAUUGUCAGAAGGUGAGUGUUCACUACCAGAUUGAGCUUCAGCAUCAGAGAUAGAGACUUCAUUACUAUUAUUAGCAGGUUUUUCUACUUUAGGUUCACUAGAGGCAUGCAAAGUCCUAUCAUUUUUCUUCUUCUUUUUCUUUUUAGCAGGACUACGUGCAUCAGUGUUAACUCUUUGAGAGUCUUGUUCAAUUAUUUUUGGGUGUCCCUAAGGAUAAAGUGGUUCCUGAGUCAUUUUGCCUCCUCUAGUUGCUACACUAACAGCAAAGUCAUGUAUAUUAUUGUUCAUUUCAUCUAACAACUCUCUUUGAGAUUUAGCAACUUGUUCUAACUGAGUUUGAACCAUAGAAGCAUGCUUUCCCACUCAACCGAGCAUUCAUAUCAGAAUUGUAUAUUAAUUGUUUCAUAACGUUUGUGAAAGCACAAGUACUCCCUGGGUGAUUUUGGUAAUUAAUCUCAACAUAUCUCUUGUUGGACUAAUACUUUCAUCUAGUAUAUUUCAGAAAGCUCAGCAAAGGCGUGGCGUGGACAAGAGGAUGAGGAACCCCUUCAAAAUGCUAAGGACAAAUAUUGGCAAAAGCUCAAGACUCUUCAUUUCUAUUUUAGUGAUCAAAGAUCGCAUUGAGUCCGUAGGAAAAGCCAAUACUAUUAAAAGGGGAUGAGGUGUUGCUUAAUGGUAUACUUGCUCAAAAUGCUUAGUGAUAUGUUCCAAAGCCCUCAACCACUUUCUCAAAUCCAAAUACGUCCUAAACCUAAAGUCAAACUCGGCCCCACCGAUUUGAUUCAUCUGGCGCCACCGAGUUCACUUGACAUAGACAUAGCCAGAAACGCUAAUCAGUUCGGUCUCACCGGUAGGGAUCUCGGUCUCACCGAGAUGGGAUUGCAAACUCUCUGUUUCCCUUCGGAACAUUUGGUCUCACUGAAAUGAGCGAUCGGUCCCACCGAGUUAGUAGUGCAAACUCUAUAUUUCCCUUUCGUAACGUUUCGGUAUCACCAAAAGGAGCGAUCAUUCCCAUCGAGUUUGCCUGACCAACUCUCUGUUAGCUUAUUACUGAAAUUGGUCUCACCGAGUUCACGUAAUCGGUCAAACCAAGAUGAAGUUUUGCCCUAACCCUAGCACAUCGGUCCCACCGAGUUGAUCAUGUCGGUCCCAUCGAAAAUCCUAACGUUCACAUUUUGAACUGAAUCGGUCUCACCGAGUUUACCUAUUCGGUCUGACCGAGUUGGCUCAAAUGUGUGUAACGGUUAGAUUCUGUGUGGAGGCUAUAUAUACCCCUCCACCCCUUUCUCCAUUUCUGAGAUAGCCAUCAGAACAUGCCUACACUUCCACUAUUCAUUUUCUGAGAGAGAACCACCUACUCAUGUGUUGAGACAAAGACAUUCCAAUCCUAUCACAAGAAUCUUGAUCUCUAUCCUUCCCCAAGUUGCUUUCCACUCAAAUCAUCUUUCCACCAUAGCCAAAUAUGUGAGAGAGAGUUGAGUGUUGGGGAGACUAUCAUUUGAAGCACAAGAACAAGGAGUUCAUCAUCAACACACCAUCCAUUACCUUUUGGAGAGUGGUGUCUCCUAGAUUGGUUAGGUGUCACUUGGGAGCCUCCGUCAAGAUUGUGGAGUUGAACCAAGGAGUUUGUAAGUUCAAGGAGAUCGCCUACUUCAUGAAGAUCUACCCAAGUGAGGCAAGUCCUUCGUGUGCAAUGGCCAUGGUGGGAUAUACAAGGUUGCUUCUUCGUGGACCCUUCAUGGGUGGAGCCCUCCGUGGACUCGCGCAACCGUUACCCUUCAUGGAUUGAAGUCUCCACCAACGUGGAUGUACGAUAGCACCACCUACCGGGACCACGCCAAAAAUCUCCGUGUCUCCAAUUGCGUUUGCACACUCCAAUCCCAUCCCUUUACUUUCUUGCAACUUGCAUGAUUUACUUUCCGUUGCUCAUAUACUCUUGCCAUGCUUGCUUGAAAUGUAUUGUGAAUGCUUAAACUUAUGCUAAAAUUCCACAUCAACUUGAAGAACUUAAAAACUGCUACUUUUGCUUGUUGAGGGUCUAAUCAACCCCCCCUCCUAGACACCUCUUCUAGAUCCUUUCAAUUGGUAUCAGAGCAUUGGUCUCCAUUGCUUUGGUUUAAUCACCUUUGGACAAAGAUGGAUGAAUCUGCGAUGGGGAGUUUUAGACAUAGAGUGCAUAUGCUUGAUGGAGAGUUCUUUAAUGCUUGGAAAAAUGAGAUGCUUAAGAUUUUCAAUGAAUAUCACUUGAACAAGUACAUUACUAGCCCUUGUGUGCCCCUUAUUGACCCCUUGCAUCCUACCCCCGAUGAGUCUCUUGACAUGAUUCGCAAUCUUAGAACUAUCAAUCUUAUCAUUAGAGGAUUGCCUAGAAAUUUGAUUUCAUGCUUGCCUACUCUUGAAUGUGUUUACACCAUAUGGAGGUAUCUUGAGGAACACUUUCCAGACUAUUCCUUGAAAAAAUUAGAUGAGAUUCUUCAAAAGUCCAUUGCUUUAAAUAGGAUGAAUCCUAAUGAUCCUAAGUUUGGUGAUUUUCAAUUUGAGCUUUGUGACCUUAUGCGUGCCAAAGGAGAUGUUGGAAUCAUUAGUAACAUCAUCUCGGAAGUCAUUAGAAUUCAUAAAGAUGCACAUUGUCAUGAUCAUAAAUCUAAUGAAUCACUCUCUCUAGGUGAUGAUCAAUCACAAGAUGAUGUUAACAUGGAUAAUAUGAUGAGGAUGAUGAUAGUGACUUUGAUCUCGAUGAGUCUAUGAUACACUUUGGUCUUAUGGCUAAUCUUCGCGGCUACAUGGCUGGAGGAAAGGAAUGGGUCCUUGAUAGUGGAUGUACCGAUCACAUGACGGAAGACAAGGAUAUGUUUUGUGAGCUUGCUGAAAAUGACAGCCCUCGAAAGUAUGUCACUUUUGGUGAUAACUCAAAGGGUAAGGUGGUUGGCCUUGGUAAGGUGGCCAUCUCACCUGACAGCUUCAUCCAAAAUGUUAUGCUCGUUGAAUCUCUUGGUUAUAAUUUACUUUCCAUAUCUAGACUAGCCGAUUUCGGUUUCAAUGUCCUAUUUACUGGAGUAGAUUGCCAAGUGUUUCGAAGAGAUAAUCAUAAUAUGGUCUUUACCGGUAUACGUAGAGGUGAUCUAUACAUUGUUGAUUUCACUAGAAAGGCUCAAGCUAGAACUUGCUUAAUUGCUAAAUCAUCUAAAGGCUGGUUGUGGCAUAGAAGGUUAGGCCACGUGGGCAUCCAAAAUCUUGAUAAGCUUAUUAAAGGUGAUCAUAUCCUUGGAGUUAAAGACGUUAUAUUUUGACAAGGAUAGACUUUGCAGUGCCUAUCAAGCAGGAAAACAGGUUGGAGGAAGCCACCCCGUGAAAAACAUCAUGACCACAAGAAGACCGCUCGAGCUGCUUCAUAUGGAUCUUUUUGGUCCAAACGCCUACAAAAGUCUCGGUGGUAACUCAUUCGGUUUAGUCAUUGUCGAUGACUUUUCAAGCUUUACGUGGGUUUUCUUUCUUGAUGAUAAGUCGCAGGUCCAAAAGAUCUUCAAGAACUUUGCUAGGAAGGCCCAAAAUCAAUUUGAAGUGAAGAUCAAGAAGGUUCGCAGCGACAACGGAACUGAGUUCAAGAACGCCAAUGUGGACACCUUUCUUGACGAAGAAGGGAUUUCACAUGAGUUCUCAGCUACGUACACACCUCAACAAAAUGGAGUUGUUGAGAGGAAGAACUGGACUCUUAUCGAGAUGGCGAGAACGAUGCUUGAUGAGUACAAGACGCAAAAACACUUUUGGGCCGAAGCGGUUGAGACAGCUUGUCAUGCAACAAAUUGUAUAUAUCUUCACAAGCUAGUCGGCAAGACGGCAUACGAGCUUCUCACCGGUAACAACCCCAAGUUGGAUACUUCCGAGUAUUCGGCUCAAACUGCUAUAUUUUUUAUAAGCAUCGUCGUUCGAAAUUUGCUCCUAAAUAUCAUUAAGGUUUCCUACUGGGUUAUGGCUCAAACACUCACACUUAUCGUGUCUACAAAAAUUUCAACCGAAAGGUUGAAGAGAUGGUAGAUGUGAAGUUUGAUGAAUCUAACGGCUCACAAGUAGAGCAAUUGCCAAUUGAUGUAGGAGACAAAGACCCUUUAGAAGCAAUCCAAGACUUGUCUAUUAGCAAGAUUCGCCCAACGGAGGUGAAGGUGAGUACUUCGUCCAUUCAAGUGGAAGCCUCUACCUCAAAACAAAGUGAACCCCGAGUUGACUUGGAGGCAUCCACAAGUGGGACACGCCAAGAUGAGGGAAACGAGGAAGUAGACCAAGAUGAACCUCAUCAACCUCCUUCUCCACCUCCAGAAGAGAACAACAACACCAACAAUGAAAAAGGCCAAGAGGAAGAACAAGAUGAUGAAUAAGAUGUUCCACCCCGACCCAAACAAAUGCUCUCACGAGUUAGAGCAAGAGUUUCAAGAGGUCAUCCCGUCGAACAAAUCUUUGAUGAUAUCCAAACCGGGAGAAUUACUCGCUCUAAAACUCGUUUGGCUAAUUUGUGUGAACAUUAUUCAUUUAUCUCUAGUAUUGAACCUAUGAAGGUUGAAGAAGUGCUUGAUGAUCCGGAUUGGGUGAACGCCAUACACGAAGAGCUACACAACUUCGAGAGGAACCAAGUGUGGACAUUGGUAGAGAAGCCCAACAACAACCAAAAUGUCAUUGGAAGCAAAUGGGUGUUUGAUACAUCUUUAGCAUCAUGUUUUCUUACUAUUAUUUAUGAUGUUUUUAUGCAUAAUAAUGCUUUUCAGAGUAAUUCUAAUGCCUUUUCUCUCAUAAUUUGCAAGGUACACACCAAGAGGGAGAAUUCCGGCAACUGGAAAUCUGGACCUGGAAAAGUACGUCAGGCUACCUAUUCUGCACAACUCCAAACAAGCUGAAACUUCACGGAGAAUUUUUAUGGAAUAUUUGAUGAAUAUUGGAGAAAAUAAGUACCAGAGGAGGCCCACCAGGUGGGCACAACCCACCCAGGCGCGCCCUGGUGGGUUGUGCUCACCCAGGCCCACCUCAGGUGCCCAUAUUCUAGUAUAUAAGUUAUUUUGACCUAGAAAAAAAAUAAGGAGAGGACUUUCAGAACGGAGCGCCGCCGUCUCGAGGCGGAACUUGGGCAGGAGCACUUUUGCCCUCUGGCGAAGCGAUUCCGCCGGGGGAACUUCCCUCCCGGAGGGGGAAAUCAUCGUCAUCAUCAUCACCAACAACUCUCCCCUCUUGGGGAGGGCUAUCUCCAUCAACAUCUUCAACAGCACCAUCUCAUCUUGAACCCUAGUUCAUCUCUUGUGUUCAAUCUUGUUACCAGAACUAUAGAUUGGUGCUUGCAGGUUAUUAGUAGUGUUGACUACAUCUUGUAGUUGAUUACUUUAUAGUUUAUUUGGUGGAAGAUUAUAUGUUCAGAUCCAUUAUGCUAUUUAAUACCCCUCUGAUCUUGAGCAUGAUUAUCAUUUGUGAGUAGUUACUUUUGUUCUUGAGGUCACGGGAGAAAUCAUGUUGCAAGUAAUCAUGUGAACUUGAUGUGUGUUGGAUAUUUUGAUAGUAUGUAUGUUGUGAUUCCCUUAGUGGUGUCAUGUGAACGUCGACUACAUGAAACUUCACCAUAUUUGGGCCUAAGGGAAUGCAUUGUGGAGUAGUAAUGAGAUGAUGGGUUGCGAGAGUGACAUAAGCUUAAACCCUAGUUUAUGCGCUAUUCCGUAAGGGACCGAUUGCUUCCAAAAGUUUAAUGCUAUGGUUAGAAUUUAUUCUUAAUACUUUCCCGUAGUAGAGGAUGCUUGCGGGAGGGUUAAUCAUAAGUAGGAGGUUUGUUCAAGUAAGAACAACACCUAAGCACCGGUCCACCCACAUAUCAAAUUAUCAAAGUAGCGAACACAAAUCGAACCAACAUGAUGAAAGUGACUAGAUGAAAUUCCCGUGUACCCUCAAGAACGCUUUGCUCAUUAUAAGAGACCGUUUUGGCCUGUCCUUUGCCUCAAAAGGAUUGGGCUACCUUGCUGCACUUUUCUUAGUACUAUCAUUACUAGCUCAUUACAAAAAUAUCUUGCUAUCAAUCUACUCUGCUACUCACAAUUUCAACACUUGCAGACAUUACCUUGCUGAAAACCACUUGUCAUUUCCUUCUGCUCCUUGUUGGGUUCGACACUCUUACUUAUCUAAAAGAGCUACAAUUGAUCCCCUAUACUUGUGGGUCAUCAAGGCUAUUUUCUGGAGCCGUUGCCGGGGAGUGAAGCGCCUUUGGUAAGUGGAAUUUGGUAAGGAAACAUUCAUAUAGUGUGCUGAAAUUUAUUGUCACUUGUUACUAUGGAGAACAAUCCUUUGAGGGGUUUGUUCGGGGUAUCUUCACCUUGACCGGAACCACAAUUAGCUACCCCUCAACCUACUGCACCUACUGAAAAUAUUGAAUAUGAAAUUCCUUCGGGUAUGAUAGAACAACUGCUAGAUAAUCCUUAUGCAGGAGACGGAACCGAACAUCCUGAUAUGCACUUGAUAUAUGUGGAACAAAUUUGUGGAUUGUUUAAGCUUGUAGGUUUACCCGGAGAUGAAGUUAUGAAGAAGGUUUUCCCUUCAUCUUUGAAGGGAAAAGCAUUGGCAUGGUAUAGGCUAUGCGAUGAUAUUGGAGCUUGGAACUGGAAUCGUUUGAAAUUGGAGUUUCACCAAAAAAUUAUCCUAUGCAUCUAGUUCAUCGUGAUUGGAAUUACAUAUAUAAUUGUUGGCCUCGUGAAGGAGGAAGUAUUGCUCUAGCUUGGGGGAGGCUUAAGUCAAUGUUAUAUUCAUGCCCCAAUCAUGAGCUCUCAAGAGAAAUUAUUAUUCAGAAUGUUUAUGCUCGGCAUUCUCGUGAUGAUCAAUCCAUGCUCGAUACUUCUUGUACUGGUUCCUUCAUGAAGACGACUAUUGAAUUCUGGUGGGAUUUUUGGGAAAUAAUUAAACGCAACUCUAAAGAUUGGGAACUCGAUGAAGGUAAAGAGUCAGGUAUUAAGCUUAAGUAUGAUUGUGUUAAAUCUUUUAUGAAUACCGAUGUUUUUCAAAAGUUUAGCACUAAAUAUGGACUUGACUCUGAGGUAGUAGCCUCCUUUUGUGAAUCAUUUGCUACCCACGUUGAUCUCCCUAAAGAGAAGUGGUUUAAAUAUCACCCACCUAUUAAAGAAGAAAUUAAAGAACCAGUACUAGCUAAGGAAGAAACUAUACUUUAUAAUGUUGAUCCAGUUGUUCCUACUGCUUAUAUUGAAAAACCACCUUUCCCUGUUAUGAUAAAGGAACAUGCUAAAGUUUCAACUGUUGUUAACAAAAGUUAUGUUCGAACACCUAAACCAGAUGAACAAAUUAAAGUAGAACCUAGUAUUGCUAUGGCUAAGGAUCUCUUGGAAGAAAAUGUAGACGGGCUUGUUAUUUACUUCUGUGAAGAAGCUGCUAGAAUUGCCAAACCUGAUAAAAAGGAUAAACACAAACCUAUUGCUGGCAUGCCCGUCUAUUAUCAUGGUUUAUGUGACAUAGGUGCUAGUGUAAGUGCUCCUUAUACCAAGAAAUUAUGAAUGACAUAGCACCCGCAGAGAUAGAAGACAUAGAUGUUAUUAUUAAACUUGCUAAUAGAGAUACUAUAUCACCAAUUGGGAUUGUUAGAGAUGUUGAAGUCUUGUGCGGGAAAAUAAAAUACCCUACUGAUUUUCUUGUUCUUUGUUCCCCACAAGAUGACGUGUGUCCCAUUAUCUUUGGUAGACCUUUCUUGAAAACCAUUAAUGCUAGAAUAGAUUGUGAGAAACAAACUGUUGGUGUUAGUUUUGGUGAUGAGUCUCAUGAAUUUAAUUUCUCCAAGUUUAGUAGAAAGCUUCAUGAAAAGGAAUUUCCUAGUAAGGAUGAAAUAAUUUGUCUUGCUUGUAUUGCCGUGCCCCCUACUGAUCCUCUAGAACAAUAUUUGCUAGACCAUGAAAAUGAUUUACAUAUGCAUGAAAGAAAUGAAAUAGAUGAUAUUUUCUUUGAACAACGUCCUCUGCUUAAACACAAUUUGCCUGUUGAAACUCUAGGAGGUCCUCCUCUACCUAAAGGUGAUCCUGUGUUUGAAUUAAAACAAUUGCCAGACACUUUGAAAUAUGCUUAUCUUGAUGAAAAGAAGAUAUAUCCUAUUAUUAUUAGUGCUAACCUUUCAGAACAUGAAGAAGAAAGAUUAUUGAAAGUUCUAAUGAAUCACCGAGCUGCUAUUUGGUAUACUCAUGAUGAUUUCAAGGACAUUAGUCCCACUCUAUGUCAGCACAAGAUUAAUAUGGAACCUGAUGCUAAACCCGUUGUUGAUCACCAACGUCAAUUAAAUCCGAAGAUGAAAGAGGUGGUAAGAACAGAAAUAUUAAAACUUCUGGAAGCAGGUAUAAUCUAUCAUAUAGCUGAUAGUAGAUGGGUAAGUCCUGUUCAUUGUGUUCCCAAGAAGGGAGGUACUACUGUUGUUCCUAAUGAUAAGAAUGAACUUAUUCCACAAACAAUUGUUACAGGCUAUAGAAUGGUAAUUGAUUUUCGAAAAUUAAAUAAAUCAACUAGAAAAGAUCAUUACCCUCUGCCUUUUAUUGAUCAAAUGCUAGAAAGAUUAUCUAAGCACACACACUUUUGCUUCCUUGAUGGAUAUUUUGGUUUUUCACAAAUACUUGUUUCUCAACCUGAUCAAGAAAAGACCACUUUUACUUGUCCCUUUGGAACUUAUGCUUAUAGACGUAUGCCUUUUGGUUUAUGCAAUGCACCUGCUACCUUUCAAAGAUGUAUGACUGCUAUAUUCUCUGACUUUUAUGAAAAUAUUGUUGAAGUUUUCAUGGAUGACUUCUCAGUUUAUGGGAAGUCUUUUGAUGAUUGUUUAAGCAAUCUUGACCGAGUUUUGCAGAGAUGUGAACAAACAAAUCUUGUCUUGAAUUGGGAGAAGUGCCACUUUAUGGUUAAUGAAGGUAUUGUCUUAGGUCAUAAGAUUUCUGAAAAGGGUAUUGAAGUGGACAAAGCUAAGGUUGAUGCAACUGAGAAAAUGCCAUGUCCUAAGAUAUCAAAGGUAUUCAUAGUUUCCUAGGUCAUGCUGGUUUCUAUAGGAGGUUUAUCAAAGACUUCUCUAAAAUUUCUAGGCCUCUUACAAACAUUUUGCAAAAGGAUGCCCCUUUUGUUUUUCAUGAUGAUUGUUUAGAAGCCUUUUAAACACUCAAGAAAGCUUUAAUUUCUGCACCUAUUGUUCAACCACCUGAUUGGAACUUGCCUUUUGAAAUUAUGUGUGAUGCUAGUGACUAUGUUGUUGGUGUUGUUCUAGGACAAAGAGUUGAUAAGAAAUUGAAUGUUAUUCAUUAUGCUAGUAAAACUCUAGACAAUGCUCAAAAGAAUUAUGCUACUACUGAAAAAGAAUUCCUAGCAGUGGUAUUUGCUUGUGGUAAAUUUAGAUCUUACAUUGUUUAUUCAAAAGUAAUUGUUCACACUGACCAUGCUGCUAUUAAAUAUCUUAUGGAAAAGAAAGAUGCUAAACCUAGACUUAUUCGAUGGGUUCUCUUGCUACAAGAAUUUGAUUUGCAUAUCACUUAUAGAAAAGGAGCUGAGAACCCCGUAGCUGAUAACUUGUCUAGGCUUGAAAAUGUGCUUGAUGACCCACUAUCUAUUGAUGAUAGUUCUCCUGAUGAGUAGCUAGCUGCAACAAAUGUUGUUCAUAGCACUCCUUGGUAUGCUGAUUAUGCUAAUUAUAUUGUUGCUAAAUAUUUACCACCUAGCUUCACAUACCAACAAAAGAAAAAAAUAUUCUAUGAUUUAAGACACUACUUUUGGGAUGACCCACAUCUUUAUAAAGAAGGAGUAGAUGGUAUUAUUAGACGUUGUGUACCUGAGCAUGAACAGGGACAAAUCCUUCAGAAAUUUCACUCCGAGACGUAUGGAGGGCAUCAUGCUGGAGACAGAACUGCUCACAAGGUAUUGCAAUCUGGAUUUUAUUGGCCUACUCUCUUCAAGGAUGCGUGUAAGUUCAUCUUAUCUUGUGAUGAAUGUCAAAGAAUAGGUAAUAUCGGUAAGCGUCAAGAAAUGCCUAUGAAUUAUUCACUUGCUGUUGAACCAUUUGAUGUUUUGGGAUUUGAUUACAUGGGACCUUUUCCUUCCUCUAAUGGGUAUACACAUAUUUUGGUUGCUGUUGAUUAUGUUACUAAAUGGGUAGAAGCUAUUCCAACUAGUAGUGUUGAUCACAACACCUCUAUUAAAAUGCUUAAGGAAGUUACCUUCCCAAGGUUUGGAGUUCCUAGAUAUUUAAUGACUGAUGGUGGUUCACACUUUAUUCAUGGUGCUUUCCGUAAAAUGCUUGCCAAGUAUGAUGUUAACUGUAGAAUUGCAUCACCUUAUCAUCCUCAGUCUAGUGGUCAAGUUGAGCUUAGCAAUAUAGAAAUAAAAUUAAUUUUGCAAAAGACUGUCAAUAGGUCCAGGAAGAAUUGGUCUAAGAAAUUAGAUGAUGCACUUUGGGCUUAUAGAACAGCAUAAAAAAUCCAAUGGGUAUGUCUCCUUAUAAAAUGGUUUAUGGAAAAGCUUGUCAUUUGCCUCUUGAAUUAGAACAUAAAGCAUAUUGGGAAAUCAAGGAACUCAACUAUGAUUUCAAACUUGCUGGUGAAAAUAGGUUAUUUGAUAUUAGCUCUUUAGAUGAAUGGAGAACCCAAGCUUAUGAAAAUGCCAAGUUGUUUAAAGAAAAAGUUAAAAGAUGGCAUGAUAAAAGAAUCCAAAAGCGUGAGCUUAAAGUUGGAGAAUAUGUUCUUUUGUACAACUCUCGUUUCAGGUUCUUUGAAGGAAAAAUCCUCUCAAAAUGGGAAGGACCCUAUGUUAUCGAGGAGGUUUAUCGGUCUGGAGCUAUCAAAAUAAAUAAUGCCGAAGGUACUGACCCGAAGGUUGUUAAUGGGCAAAAAAUAAAACAUUAUAUCUCAGGUACGCCCAUUAAUGUUGAAAGCAAUAUUAUCCAAACUUUGACACGGUAAAGAGUCCUUGCGGACCACUCCAGAAUCGUGAAAAUAAGGAGGUACGUGAUACGGUAAGUAAAUGGACUCCGAAAAAUCCCCAAUUUUUUUUUUCAGUUUUGUAAUAUUUAAAAAAUUAGGAAAAUAAGAACCCAGGUGGGUUGUGCCCACCUAGGGCACCUUCUGGACUCCGUUUUUCUUCCAUUUGCUUGUUUCCCAAGAUAAAAAAUCUUUAUAUACCCCCCGAACCUGUUGACCACCGUAUCGCAGAGAAAUCUCCUGUUUUCUUUUCCUUGUUGUUUUCUGUCAGAUCCCAUCCACCAUGGCCGCUUCAAGCUCCUCCAAGGACAAGUUCUUCAAGAACGUCAUCAACCCAUAUUUGCGGGAGGUGGUGCAGCACCCUCAAACCAUCCAGAUGCAUGAGUGGGUGCUACACAUCCGCGAUGUGCAAGGUCCCAAGGGCACGGGAACUGUGGAGGCCAGGCUUGAAGCUAUGGAGCAGGAGGUCUUCCGGUGCAAGGGGAUGGUGGAACGUGGACUCAAUGCCAAUCACCUCAUGAUCACGAACCUUAGCCGUGAUCUCAAGGUGGAUGGCAAGCCCGUGAAGGACAUCGUCUUCACCCUCAACGAGCAAAUCAACUUCCUCCAAAGCCAGAUCUAUGAUCUUCAUAACCAAGUCUUUGAAUAUGAGGCAAGGUUUAAAGUUAUGAGUUUGGCUGCUAGUUGCAGGACCCGUGAGACUCAUUCUUCCUCUUACGAUGGUGGACCUCUGCCAUGGAAACCCGAGGACAAGAUAUCUACUUCACCACCACCAUCUUCUUCAUCACCAAAAGAAAAUUGAGUAUCGGGUAUGGACACUCCCCUUGGCUUCGGCUAAGCGUGGGGGAGGUGUCCCGGUAUCGCAUCAUCCCCACUAUCUUUUCGCUUUUACUAUUUUAGUCCAAUCUAUUGCUUUAGAUGAAUAAACGUUUAGUUCGAUCCUUUUUUUCGAGAGUUUUGUUUAGUGAUAUAUCCUUGUAAUAGUGUGGAAGAUAUAUAAUAAAGUUUAGUUUGAGUUUUUUCUUUCUUUACUUUCAUGUUGCAAUAAAAGAAAGGAAAUAAAUAAAAAAGAAAGGAAAUAAAAGAAAAAGAUCAUAUGCUAAUCUUAUGGUAGGUGAUGGCGCCAAAUAAGGAAAGGUAUAAGUAGAAAAUUUUAUUAGAGAUUGACAAACAUAGAAUUGGUCAAUGAUGCAACUCAUGAAAGAAUUAAUAAGGGAAGAGAAGAUUCACAUAUAAAUACACUAUCCUAGAAAUCUUUUGUGAUUGUGAGCCCCCAUCAAAAUAUUAUAUGCCAAAAUUGUUGACGUUGGAGAAGGAAGAGAACUUAAUUAUUUAUGUUUGUUCAUAUUCACACAGAAGUCAUAUUGUCAUAGAUCCUUCAACAUGUGGUGCUUGCCCCUAUCUUUGCUAGCCAAAAAUUCCGCACCAAGUAGAUAUACUACUUGUGCAUCCAAAAACCUUUAAACCCAAAUCUUAUUUUCAAGAGUCCACCAUACCUACAUAGGGAUUGAGCAAGAUCCCUCAAGUAAGUUGUCAUCGGUGCAAAAAGGCAAUAAAAAUUGCUUCUAAAUGUGUGAGAUCAUUUAGUGUAAGAGAAAAUUGAGCGUUGCAUGAACUUGUGAUGGUGAAGAAUAAAGGCAACAGACUGCAUAAUAAAGGUCGCUAUCACAAGGGGCAAUGCAACGUGACGUUCUUUUGCACUAAGGGGUUGAGCAUACAAACAAAUAAGCGCAUGGCAACCUCCGCUUCCCUCUGCGAAGGGCCUAUCUUUUACUUUUAUGUAUUUACUUUUAUGCAAAGAGUCAAACUUUUCUUUCUAUUCCUUUUUAUUUUCUCCUUUGGGAAGCAUCAUGUGGUGAGGAAAGAUCUAAGCACAUAUGUCCAGGUGAAUAUGGGUGGCAUGAGUUAUUAUUGUUGACAUCACCCUUGAGGUGAAUACGUUGGGAGGCGAAACUAUAAGUCCCUAUCUUUCUAUGUGUCCACUUGAAACGUUUUGCUCAUGUGUAUGCGGUGAGUGUUAGCAAUCAUAGAAGACUAUAUGAUGGUUGAGUAUGUGGACUUGCCUAAAGGCUUUGAUACGUGACCCUUCCUGAAAAGAUGAUGAAUUGUAGUUGCAAAGUUGACUGAGAACAUAGUUUAUUGGUUUCUAAUAGAGUUUAUGCUUUAUACUUCAAUUGUGUGAUGAACUGUUACUUAUUCAUGUGAAGUCUAUGAUAAAAGUCCUAUGAUAAAAGUCUUAUGUUUAAUUUUGUUGCUGUAAUAAUAAUCUACAUGAUGCUUUUAUGUCCAUAUUUUGUUUUUAUCGACACCUCUCUCUCUAAGCAUGUGGACAUGUUUUUCGAUUUCGGUUUUUGCUUGAGGACAAGCGAGGUCUAAGCUUGGGGGAGUUGGUACGUCCAUUUAGCAUCAUGUUUUCUUGCUAUUAUUUAUGAUGUUUUUAUGCAUAAUAAUGCUUUUUGGAGUAAUCCUAAUGCCUUUUCUCUCAUAAUUUGCAAGGUACACACCAAGAGGGAGAAUUCCAGCACCUGGAAAUCUAGACCUGGAAAAGCUACGUCGGGCUACCUAUUCUGCACAACUCCAAACAAGCUGAAACUUCACGAAGAUUUUUUAUGGAAUAUUUGAUGAAUAUUGGAGCAAAUAAGUACCAGAGGAGGCCCACCAGGUGGGAACAACCUACCUGGGCGUGCCAGGGAGCCCAGGCGCGCCCUGGUGGGUUGUGCUCACCCAGGCCCACAUCCGGUGCCCAUCUCUGGUACAUAAGUCAUUUUUACCUAGAAAAAAUAAGGAGAGGACUUUCGGGAAGGAGCGCCGCCGUCUCGAGGCGGAACUUGGGCAGGAGCACUUUUACCCUCUGGCGGAGCGAUUCCGCCUGGGGAACUUCCCUCCGGAGGGGGAAAUCAUCGUCAUCAUGAUCACCAACAAAUCUCCCAUCUUGGGGAGUACUUGUUGGGGAACGUAGCAGAAAUUCAAAAUUUUCUACGCAUCACCAAGAUCAAUCUAUGGAGUUUACUAGCAACAAGAGGGAAGGAGUGCAUCUACAUACCCUUGUAGAUCGCGAGCGGAAGCGUUCAAGUGAACGGGGUUGAUGGAGUCGUACUCGUCGUGAUCCAAAUCACCGAUGAUCCUAGCGCCGAACGGACGGCACCUCCGCGUUCAACACACGUACGGAGCAGCGACGUCUCGUCCUUCUUGAUCCAGCAAGGGGGGAGGAGAGGUUGAUGGAGAUCCAGCAGCACGACGGCGUGGUGGUGGAAGUAGCGGGAUUCCAACAGGGCUUCGCCAAGCGCUGCGGGAGGAGGGAGGUGUGUCACGGGAGGGAGAGGGAGGCGCCAGGGCUUAGAUGUUGCUGCCCUCCCUUCCCCCCACUAUAUAUAGGGCCAAGGGAGAGGGGGGCGCAGCCUUGGCCCUUCCUCCAAGGAAGGGUGCGGCCAGGGAGGAGUCCUUCCUCCCCAAGGCACAUCCGAGGUGCCUUCCCCCUUUAGGACUCUCCCUUUAUCUUAUCUCUUGGCGCAUGGGCCUCUUGGGGCUGGUUCCCUUGGCCCAUAUAGGCCAAGGCGCACCCCCCACAGCCCAUGUGCCCCCCCGGGGCUGGUGGACCCCUUGGUGGACCCCCAGACCCCUUUCGGCACUCCCGGUACAAUACCGAUAAAGUGCGAAACUUUUCCGGCGACCAAAAUAAGACUUCCCAUAUAUAAAUCUUUACCUCCGGACCAUUCCGGAACUCCUCGUGACUUCUGGGAUCUCAUCCGGGACUCCAAAAAACUUUCGGGUUACCGCAUACUAAUAUCUCUACAACCCUAGCGUCACCAAACCUUAAGUGUGUAGACCCUACGGGUUCGGGAACCAUGCAGACAUGACCGAGACGUUCUCCGGUCAAUAAACAACAGCGGGAUCUGGAUACCCAUGUUGGCUCCCACAUGUUCCACGAUGAUCUCAUCGGAUGAACCACGAUGUCGAGGAUUCAAUCAAUCCCGUAUACAAUUCCCUUUGUCUAUCGGUAUGCUACUUGCCCGAGAUUUGAUCGUCGGUAUCCCGAUACCUUGUUCAAUCUCGUUACCGGCAAGUCUCUUUACUCGUUCCGUAACACACAUCAUCCCGUGAUCAACUCCUUGGUCACAUUGUGCACAUUAUGAUGAUGUCCUACCGAGUGGGCCCAGAGAUACCUCUCCGUUUACACGGAGUGACAAAUCCCAGUCUCGAUUCGUGCCAACCCAACAGACACUUUCGGAGAUACCUGUAGUGCACCUUUAUAGCCACCCAGUUACGUUGUGACGUUUGGUACAACCAAAGCAUUCCUACGGUAUCCGGGAGUUGCAGAAUCUCAUGGUCUAAGGAAAUGAUACUUGACAUUAGAAAAGCUCUGAGCAAACGAACUACACGAUCUUGUGCUAGGCUUAGGAUUGGGUCUCGUCCAUCACAUCAUUCUCCUAAUGAUGUGAUCCCGUUAUCAACGACAUCCAAUGUCCAUGGUCAGGAAACCGUAACCAUCUAUUGAUCAACGAGCUAGUCAACUAGAGGCUUACUAGGGACAUGGUGUUGUCUAUGUAUCCACACAUGUAUCUGAGUUUCCUAUCAAUACAAUUCUAGCAUGGAUAAUAAACGAUUAUCAUGAACAAGGAAAUAUAAUAAUAACCAAUUUAUUAUUGCCUCUAGGGCAUAUUUCCAACAGUCUCCCACUUGCACUAGAGUCAAUAAUCUAGUUCACAUCGCCAUGUGAUUAACACUCAUAGGUCACAUCACCAUGUGACCAACAUCCAAAGAGUUUACUAGAGUCAACAAUCUAGUUCACAUCACUAUGUGAUUAAACUCAAUGAGUUCUGGUUUGAUCAUGUUAUGCUUGUGAGAGAGGUUAUUAGUCAACCGGUCUGAACCUUUCAGAUCCGUGUGUGCUUUACGAAUAUCUAUGUCAUCUUGUGGAUGCUACCACGCGCUAUUUGGAGCCAUUUCAAAUAAUUGCUCUACUAUACGAAUCCGGUUUACUACUCAGAGCCAUCCGGAUUAGUGUCAAAGUUCGCAUCGACGUAACCCUUUACGACGAACUCCUUUUCACCUCCAUAAUUGAGAAAAUUCCUUAGUCCACUAGAUACUAAGGAUAAGUUCGACCGCUGUAAUGUGAUCCAUUCCCGGAUCACUAUUGUACCCUCUUGACCAACUCAUGGCAAGGCACACUACAUGUGCGGUACGCAGCAUAGCAUACUGUAGAGCCUACGUCUGAAGCAUAGGGGACGACCUUCGUCCUUUCUCUCUCUUCUGCUGUGGUCAGGUCUUGAGUCUUACUCAAUACUCACACCUUGUAACACAGCCAAGAACUCCUUCUUUGCUGACCUAUUUUGAACUCUUUCAAAAUCAUGUCAAGGUGUGUGUUCUUUGAAAGUAUCAUCGGGCGUCCUGAUCUAUCUCUAUAGAUCUUGAUGCCCAAUAUGUCAGCAGCUUUUAUCCAGGUCUUCCUUUGAAAAACUCCUUUCAAACAACCCUUUAUGUUUUCCAGAAAUUUUGCAUCAUUUCGGAUCAACAAUAUGUCAUUCACAUAUACUUAUCAGAAAUGUUGUAGCGCUCCCACUCACUUUAUUGUAAAUACAAGUUUCCAACAAACUUUGUAUAAACCCAAAAACUUUGGUCACUCCAUCAAAGCGUAUAUUCUGACUCCGAGAUGCUUGCUCUAGUCCAUGGAAGGAUCGCUGGAGCUAGCAUACCCUUUUAGCAUCCUUAGGAUCAACAAAACCUUUCUGAUUGUAUCACAUACAACCUUUCCUUACGAAAACUGGUAAGGAAACUUGUUUUGACAUCCAUCUGCCAGAUUUCAUAAAUGCAGCUUAUGCUAACAUGAUUCCGACGGACUUAAGCAUCGCUACGGAUGAGAAAAUCUCAUCGUAGUCAACUCCUUGAACUUGUGAAAAUAUAUUCUUUGCCACAAGUCGAGCUUCAUAGACGGUAACAUUACCGUCCAUGUUCGUCUUCUUCUUAAAGAUCCAUUUAUCUCAAUGGCUUGCCGAUCAUCGGGCAAGUUCACCAAAGUCCAUGAUUUGUUCUGAUACAUGGAUCCUAUCUCGGAUUUCAUGGCUUCUAACCGUUUUUCGGAAUAUGGGCCCACCAUCGCUUCUCCAUAGCUCGUAAGUUCAGUAUUGUCUAACAACAUGAUAUCUAAGACAGGAUUACCGUACCACUCAGGAGUAGUACAUAUCCUUGUCGACCUACGAGGUUUGGUAGUGACUUGAUCCGAAGUUUCAUGAUCACUAUCAUAAGCUUCCACUUCAAUUGGUGUAGGUGCCACAGGAACAACUUCCUGUGCCCUGCUACACACUAGUUGAAGUUAUGGUUCAAUAACCUCAUCAAGUCUCCACCAUCCUCCCACUCAAUUCUUUCGAGAGAAACUUUUCCUCGAGAAAGGACUCGUUUCUAGAAGCAAUUACUUUUGCUUCCAGAUCUGAAAUAGGAGGUAUACCCAACUGUUCUGGGUAUUCUUAUGAAGAUGUAUUUAUCCGCUUUGGGCUCGAGCUUAUCAGCCUGAAACUUUUUCACAUAAGCGUCGCAGCCCCAAACUUUUAAGAAACGACAACUUAGGUUUCUCUAAACGGUGUCGUCUCAACGGAAUUGCGUGGUACCCUAUUUAAAGUGAAUGCGGUUGUCUCUAAUGCCUAACCCAUAAACGAUAGUGGUAAUUCGAUAAGAGACAUCAUGGUAUGCACCAUAUCCAAUAGGGUGCAGUUAUGAUGUUCGGAGACACCAUCACACUGUGGUGUUCCAGGCGGUAUUAAUUGUGAAACACUUUCCACAAUGUCUUAAUUGUAUGCCAAACUCGUAACUCAGAUACUCAUCUCUAUGAUCAUAUCACAGACAUUUUAUCCUCUUGUCACGACGAUCUUCAACUUCACUCUGAAAUUACUUGAACCUUUCAAUAAUUCAGACUUGUGUUUCAUUAAGUAAAUACACUCAGCAUCUACUCAAAUCAUUUGUGAAGUAAGAACAUAACGAUAUCCACUGCAUGCCUCAGCACUCAUUGGACUGCAUACAUCAAAAUGUAUUACUUCCAAUAAGUUGCUCUCUUGUUCCAUCUUACUGAAAACGAGGACUUUCAGUCAUCUUGCCCAUGUGGUAUGAUUUUCAUGUCUCAAGUGAUUCAAAAUCAAGUGAGUCCAAACGAUCCAUCUGCAUGGAGUUUCUUCAUGCAUAUAUACCAAUAGACAUGGUUCGCAUGUCUCAAUCUUUUCAAAAACGACUGAGUCCAAAGAUCCAUCUACAUGGAGCUUCUUCAUGCGUUUUAUACCAAUAUGACUCAAAUGGCAGUGCCACAAGUAUGUGGAACUGUCAUUACUAUUUUAUAUCUUUUGGCACGAACAUGUGUAUCACUACGAUCGAGAUUCAUUUUAGGUGCAAGACCAUUGAAGGUAUUAUUCAAAUAAACAGAGUAACCAUUAUUCUCCUUAAAUGAAUAACCUUAUUGCGAUAAACAUAAUCCAAUCAUGCUCAACGCAAACACCAAAUCUCGAUGGUAGAGGGAGCAUGCGAUGCUUGAUCACAUCAACCUUGGAAACACUUCCAACACACAUCGUCAUCUCACCUUUAGCUAGUCUCCAUUUAUUCCGCAGCUUUUAUUUCGAGUUACUAACACUUAGCAACCGAACCGGUAUCUAAUACCCUGGUGCUGCUAGGAGUACUAGUAAAGUACACAUUCAUAUAAUGUAUAUCCAAUAUACUUCUAUCGACCUUGCCUGCCUUCUCAUCUACCAAGUAUCUAGGGUAGUACUGCUUCAGUGACCGUUCCCCUCAUUACAGAAGCACUUAGUCUCGGGUUUGGGUUCAACCUUGGGAUUCUUCACUAGAGCAGCAAACGAUUUGCUAUUUCAUGAAGUAUCCCUUUUGCCCUUGCCCUUCUAGAAACUAGUGGUUUUACUAACCAUCAACAAUUGAUGCUCCGUCUUGAUUUCUACUUUCGCGGUGUCAAACAUCGCGAGUUGCUCAAGGAUCAUCAUGUCUAUCCUUGAUAUGUUAUAGUUCAUCACGAAGCUCUACAAGCUUGGUGGCAGUGACUAUGGAGAACCAUCACUAUCUCAUCUGGGAGAUUAACUCCCACUCGAUUCAAGCGAUUGUAGUACUCAGACUAUCUGAGCACAUGCUCAACGAUUGAGCUUUUCUCCCUUAGUCUGCAGGCUUAAGAAACUUGUCUGAGGUCUCAUACCUCUUGACGUGGGCACUAGUCUGAAAUCCCAAUUUCAGUCUUCGGAACAUCUCAUAUGUUUUGCGACGUUUCAAAACCGUCUUUGGUGCCACAAUUCUAAACCGUUAGCAUUACGCACUGAACUAUCACGUAGUCAUCAAAACGUGUAUGUCAGAUGUUUCGCAACAUCUACAGACGACGCUGAGGUUCAGCACACCGAGCGGUGCAUUAAGGACAUAAGCCUUCUGUGCAGCAAUGAGGACAAUCCUCAGUUCACAGACCCAGUCCGCAUAAUUGCUACUACCAACUUUCAACUAAAUUUUUCUCUAGGAACAUAUCUUAAACAGUAGAACUAAAGUGUAUGACAUAAUUUGCAAAGACCUUUUGACUAUGUUCAUGAUAAUUGAGUUCAUCUGAUUAAUGAACUCCCACUCAGAUAGACAUCCCUCUAGUCAUCUAAGUGAUACAUGAUCCGAGUCAAACUAGGCCGUGUCCGAUCAUCACGUGAGACAGACUAGUCAUCAUCGGUGAACAUCUCCAUGUUGAUCGUAUCUUCUAUACGACUCAUGCUCGACCUUUCGGUCUCUUGUGUUCCGAGGCCAUGUCUGCACAUGCUAGGCUCGUCAAGUCAACCUAAGUGUUUCGCAUGUGUUCCGAGGCCAUGUCUGUACAUGCUAGGCUCGUCAACACCCGUUGUAUUCGAACGUUAGAAUAUAUCACACCCGAUCAUCACGUGGUGCUUCGAAACAACGAACCUUCGCAACGGUGCACAGUUAGGGGGAACACGUCUCUUGAAAUUUUUAGUGAGGGAUCAUCUUAUUUAAGCUACCGUCGUUCUAAGCAAAUAAGAUGCAUAACAUGAUAAACAUCACAUGCAAUCAAAUAGUGACAUGAUAUGGCCAAUAUCAUUUUGCUCCUUUGAUCUCCAUCUUCGGGGCACCAUGAUCAUCUUUGUCACCGGCAUGACACCAUGAUCUCCAUCAUCGUGAUCUCCAUCAUUGUGUCUUCAUGAAGUUGUCACGCCAACGAUUACUUCUACUUCUAUGGCUAACGCACUUAGCAAUGAAGUAAAGUAAUUUACAUGGCGUUAUUCAAUGACACGCAGGUCAUACAAAAAAUAAAGACAACUCCUAUGGCUCCUGCCGGUUGUCAUACUCAUCGACAUGCAAGUCGUGAUUCCUAUUACAAGAAUAUGAUCAAUCUCAUACAUCACAUAUAUCAUUCAUCACAUCUUCUGGCCAUAUCACAUCACAUAGCACAUGCUGCAAAAACAAGUUAGACGUCCUCUAAUUGUUGUUGCAAGUUUUUACGUGGCUUGUAUAGGUUUCUAGCAAGAACGUUUCUUACCUACGUAAAACCACAACGUGAUAUGCCAAUUUCUAUUUACCCUUCAUAAGGACCCUUUUCAUCGAAUCCGUUCCGACUAAAGUGGGAGAGACAGACACCCGCUAGCCACCUUAUGCAACUAGUGCAUGUCAGUCGGUGGAACCUGUCUCACGUAAGCGUACGUGUAAGGUCGGUCCGGGCCACUUCAUCCCACAAUGCCGCCGAAACAAGAUAAUACUAGUAGCGGCAAGAAGAAUUGGCAACAUCUAUGCCCACAACUGCUUUGUGUUCUACUCGUGCAUAGAAACUACGCAUAGACCUAGCUCAUGAUGCCACUGUUGGGGAACGUAGCAGAAAUUCAAAAUUUUCUACGCAUCACCAAGAUCAAUCUAUGGAGUUUACUAGCAACGAGAGGGAAGGAGUGCAUCUACAUACCCUUGUAGAUCGCGAGCGGAAGCGUUCAAGUGAAUGGGGUUGAUGGAGUCGUACUCGUCGUGAUCCAAAUCACCGAUGAUCCUAGCGCCGAACGGACGGCACCUCCGCGUUCAACACACGUACGGAGCAGCGAUGUCUUGUCCUUCUUGAUCCAGCAAGGGGGGAGGAGAGGUUUAUGGAGAUCCAGCAGCACGACGGCGUGGUGGUGGAAGUAGCGGGAUUCCAACAGGGCUUCGCCAAGCGCUGCGGGAGGAGGGAGGUGUGUCACGGGAGGGAGAGGGAGGCGCCAGGGCUUAGAUGUUGCUGCCCUCCCUUCCCCCCACUAUAUAUAGGGCCAAGGGAGAGGGGGGGCGCAGCCUUGGCCCUUCCUCCAAGGAAGGGUGCGGCCAGGGAGGAGUCCUUCCUCCCCAAGGCACCUCGGAGGUGCCUUCCCCCUUUAGGACUCUCCCUUUAUCUUAUCUCUUGGCGCAUGGGCCUCUUGGGGCUGGUUCCCUUGGCCCAUAUAGGCCAAGGCGCACCCCCCACAGCCCAUGUGCCCCCCGGGGCUGUUGGACCCCUUGGUGGACCCCCGGACCCCUUUCGGCACUCCCGGUACAAUACCGAUAAAGUGUGAAACUUUUCCGGCGACCAAAAUAAGACUUCCCAUAUAUAAAUAUUUACCUCCGGACCAUUCCGGAACUCCUCGUGACGUUAGGGAUCUCAUCCGGGACUCCGAACAACUUUCGGGUUACCGCAUACUAAUAUCUCUACAACCCUAGCGUCACCGAACCUUAAGUGUGUAGACCCUACGGGUUCGGGAACCAUGCAGACAUGACCGAGACGUUCUCCGGUCAAUAAACAACAGCGGGAUCUCGAUACCCAUGUUGGCUCCCACAUGUUCCACGAUGAUCUCAUCGGAUGAACCACGAUGUCGUGGAUUCAAUCAAUCCCGUAUACAAUUCCCUUUGUCUAUCGGUAUGCUACUUGCCCGAGAUUCGAUCGUCGGUAUCCCGAUACCUUGUUCAAUCUCGUUACCGGCAAGUCUCUUUACUCUUCCCGUAACACACAUCAUCCCGUGAUCAACUCCUUGGUCACAUUGUGCACAUUAUGAUGAUGUCCUACCGAGUGGGCCCAGAGAUACCUCUCCGUUUAUACGGAGUGACAAAUCCCAGUCUCGAUUCGUGCGAACCCAACAGACACUUUCGGAGAUACCUGUAGUGCACCUUUAUAGCCACCCAGUUACGUUGUGACGUUUGGUACACCCAAAGCAUUCCUACGGUAUCCGGGAGUUGCACAAUCUCAUGGUCUAAGGAAAUGAUACUUGACAUUAGAAAAGCUCUGAGCAAACGAACUACACGAUCUUGUGCUAGGCUUAGGAUUGGGUCUCGUCCAUCACAUCAUUCUCCUAAUGAUGUGAUCCCGUUAUCAACGACAUCCAAUGUCCAUGGUCAGGAAACCGUAACCAUCUAUUGAUCAACGAGCUAGUCAACUAGAGGCUUACUAGGGACAUGGUGUUGUCUAUGUAUCGACACAUGUAUCUGAGUUUCCUAUCAAUACAAUUCUAGCAUGGAUAAUAAACGAUUAUCAUGAACAAGGAAAUAUAAUAAUAACCAAUUUAUUAUUGCCUCUAGGCCAUAUUUCCAACAGUCUCCCACUUGCACUAGAGUCAAUAAUCUAGUUCACAUCGCCAUGUGAUUAACACUCAUAGGUCACAUCACCAUGUGACCAACAUCCAAAGAGUUUACUAGAGUCAACAAUCUAGUUCACAUCACUAUGUGAUUAAACUCAAUGAGUUCUGGUUUGAUCAUGUUAUGCUUGUGAGAGAGGUUAUUAGUCAACGGGUCUGAACCUUUCAGAUCCGUGUGUGCUUUACGAAUAUCUAUGUCAUCUUGUGGAUGCUACCACGCGCUAUUUGGAGCCAUUUCAAAUAAUUGCUCUACUAUACGAAUCCGGUUUACUACUCAGAGCCAUCCGGAUUAGUGUCAAAGUUCCGUUAGACAUAUGCCCGCAUUGCUAGACUUGAGUCCAUUCGCAUCUUACUUGCUUAUGCCAAUCACCAUGAUAUCACAUUAUAUCAAAUGGACAUUAAAAGCGCUUUUCCAAAUGGUGAAAUUGAGGAGGAAGUAUAUGUUAAACAACCUGCCGGCGUUUGUUAAUCCUAAGAAUCCCAAUCAUGUUUACAAACUUCACAAAGCUCUUUAUGGUCUUAAACAAGCUCCUAGAGCAUGGUAUAAAUGCUUGACUAAGUUCCUUAUUAAAAAGGCUUUGAGAUUGGAAAAAUUGAUUCUACACUUUUUACUAAAAGGGUUAAUGGUGAAUUAUUUGUGUGCCAAAUUUAUCUGGAUGAUAUCAUAUUUGGUUCGACUAACCCUCAUUUUAGUGAAAAGUUUGGAAAGCAAAUGUCGGAGAAGUCUGAGAUGUCUAUGAUGAGUGAACUCAAGUUCUUUCUUGGUUUCCAAAUCAAGCAAACUAAGGAGGGUACCUUUGUUUCCCAAACACAGUACACCAAGGACUUAUUCAAGAAGUUCAACAUGCAAGAAAGCGAAGGUAUGAAAACACCCAUGCCUACUAGUGGACAUCUUGACUUGACAAAGGAUGGCAAACCGGUUGACCAAAAGGUUUAUCGCUCUAUGAUUGGUUCAUUGUUAUAUCUAUGUGCCUCCCGUCCCGAUAUUAUGCUAAGUGUGUGCAUGUGUGCACAAUAUCAAGCGGCCCCUAAGGAAUGUUAUCUUAAGGCUGUGAAAAGGAUAGUGAGAUACUUAAUUCAUACACCAAAUUUUGGCAUUUGGUAUCCUAAGAGGUCUUAUUUUGUGUUGGGGAACGUAGUAAUUUCAAAAAAAUCCUAUGCACACGCAAGAUCAUGGUGAUGCAUAGCAACGAGAGGGGAGAGUGUUGUCCACGUACCCUCGUAGACCGAAAGCGGAAGCGUUAGCACAACGCGGUUGAUGUAGUCGUACGUCUUCACGAUCUGACCGAUCAAGUACCGAACGUACGGCACCUCCGAGUUCAGCACAUGUUCAGCUCGAUGAUGUCCCUCGAACUCCGAUCCAGUCGAGCUUUGAGGGAGAGUUCCAUCAGCACGACGGCGUGGUGACGAUGAUGAUGUUCUACCGACGCAGGGCUUCGCAUAAGCACCGCUACGAUAUUAUCGAGGUGGAUUAUGGUGGAGGGGGCACCGCACAUGGCUAAGAGAUCAAGAGAUCAAUUUGUUGUGUCUAUGGGGUGCCCCCCUCCUCCGUAUAUAAAGGGGGGAGGAGGAGAGGGCCGGCCAAGGGGAGAGGCGCGCCCAAGGGGGGGGGGGCAAUCCUACUCCAAGUAAGUUUGCCCCCCCUUUGCUAUUCCAACUAGGAGAAGGGGGAUGGAGGAGGUGGAGAGAAGGAAGGAGAAGGGGGGCCGCCGCCCCUUCCCUUUCCCAAUUCGGAUUGGGGCAAGGGGGCCGCGCGCCACCUCUUGGCCUCCCUCUCUCCUUUACACUAAGGCCCAUAAGGCCCCGGUACUCCGAUAAAUAUCCGAUAACCCCCGGAACCAUUCCGGUGUCCGAAUAUAGUCGUCCAAAAUAUCAAUCUUCAUGUCUCGACCAUUUCGAGACUCCUCGUCAUGUUCGUGUUCACAUCCGGGACUGCAAAGAUCCUUCGGUACAUCAAAACUCAUAAACUCAUAACAUAUCCGUCAUCGAACUUUAAGCGUGCGGACCCUACGGGUUCGAGAACAAUGUAGACAUGACCGAGACACGUCUCCGGUCAAUAACCAAUAGCGGAACCUGGAUGCUCAUAUUGGCUCCCACAUAUUCUACGAAGAUCUUUAUCGGUCAAACCGCAUAACAGCAUACGUUGUUCCCUUUGUCAUCGGUAUGUUACUUGCCCAAGAUUCGAUCGUCGGUAUCUCAAUACCUAGUUCAAUCUCGUUACCGGCAAGUCUCGUUACUCGUUCCAUAAUACAUCAUCCCACAACUAACUCAUUAGUUGCAAUGCUUGCAAGGCUUAUAGUGAUGUGCAUUACCGAGUGGGUCCAGAGAUACCUCUGCGACAAUCGGAGUGACAAAUCCUAAUCUCGAAAUACGCCAACCCAACAAGUACCUUUGGAGACACCUGUAGAGCACCUUUAUAAUCACCCAGUUACGUUGUGAUGUUUGGUAGCACAUAAAGUGUUCCUCCGGUAAACGGGAUUUGCAUAAUAUCAUAGUCAUAGGAACAUGUAUAAGUCAUGAAGAAAGCAAUAGCAGAAUACUAAAUGGUCGAGUGCUAAGCUAACAGAAUGGGUCAAUUCAAUCACAUCAUUCUCCUAAUGAUGUGAUCCCGUUAAUCAAAUGACAACUGAUGUCAAUGGCUAGGAAACAUAACCAUCUUUGAUCAACGAGCUAGUCAAGUAGAGGCAUAGUAGUGACACUCUGUUUGUCUAUGUAUUCACACAAGUAUUAUGUUUCCGGUUAAUAUAAUUCUAGCAUGAAUAAUAAAGAUUUAUCAUGAUAUAAGGAAAUAAACAAUAACUUUAUUAUUGCCUCUAGGGCAUAUUUCCUUCAUUUUGAUCUUCUUGGCUACUCCAAUUUGAACUAUGUCGGUGACAAGGUUGAUAGAAAGUCCACUUCGGGUACUUGUCAAUUUCUUGGUAGAUCUCUUGUGUCUUGGUCAUCCAAGAAACAAAACUCGGUAUCCUUAUCCACCGCCGAAGCGGAAUACAUUGCCGCUGGUUCAUGUUGUGCUCAAUUACUUUGGAUGACCCAAACUCUUAAGACUAUGGGAUAUAUGUGAAGCAUGUUCCAUUGCUUUGUGAUAAUGAAAGUGUUAGUAAGAUUGCUCACAAUCCCGUGCAACAUUCUCAAACUAAGCAUAUUGAAGUUCAUCAUCAUUUCAUUCGAGAUCAUGUUGCUAAAGGAGACAUCGAUCUUAAGCAUGUUUGUACCGAUAAGCAAUUGGUGGAUAUACUCACCAAACUGCUUGAUGAGAAAGUAUUUUGCCGUUUGAGAGGUGAAUUGAACAUCAUUGAUGCCUCAAACUUGGAGUAUAAACUCCAUUUGGAUACAUGCAAGGCAUGACUCUUUGACUAAUGCUUGAUAUUUCUCUUAUGAUGAUGAUCAUAUUUCUUGGAUCUAUACUUGUACCCUUGCAUGUCAUCUAACCCUGUAGGUACUUGGAUGAAUCCAAAUCUAUGAGAUUGCAACUCUCUCUCACAUCUUGAGCAAUCUCUACAUCACCAAGUCUCUACAAUAUGGUGGUUGAAGACAAGGAAGCAUGAAUCCUUUCAACAUAUCCUUUGACAAUUUCAAUAUAUCGAAUCUCAUUUGAUAUCAAAUUUCAUGUUUGUCAUUUUGGAUACACAAGUGCUCUUCCUUGCAAAACUAACCCAUGUAGGUAGAUGAACUCAAACUACAAGUGGUGCUCCCAACUCUUGAUGAACUACAUCAUCCUUGAGCAUCCAACACAAGUUUGACUACAUGAUCUAGAUGAACACCACCACCCAAGGUAUGAUAUUCCAUCUUAGAGAAGCUUUACCCCAAGACAUGGGUCAAAGCAUCUCAACAAGAUGUGAAUACAUCAAAAUGCUUAAACGAAAAAUGGUAACCCCAUUUUGAGCUUAAACGAUGAGUAUGACCUACGAUCAAGUGUUCUCACUUGACUCCUCAGUCAAUAUACACUAACAUAGGUGACUUUGUCACCGACCAAUUCUAGAUGAAGUUCUCUAGUAUUUCUAUGUGUUCUUGCAUUUGUCUCUUGCUUGCUUGUUCCCUUUAUCUAGGAAACUUCAUCUAGAUUUCAUUUCUUUGUCUGUCAUUUUCUGCAUUCCCUGUUGGGGAUAUAACUAUUGGGUAUGACCCGCCCAGGAGGGGCCGGGUUAUACCAAUGGCGGUUCAUCAAGACGAAGCCCAAAGGCGACUUAAGGCCCAUAGUGUAAACCGCCAUAUGUAUGUGUGACUUGUAUUGUAAGGCAUGAGUAGUUAGUCGCCUAGCCGGACACGUUGUAUAAGCCGGUCGGGAUUCCAUGAGCUGCUGGGCGUCAACCUGUGUAUAUAAAGGGACGACCCGACGGCGGUUUAGGGACAAGAAACAACAGAUCGAGAACUAGGUCAAGCGUAGUCGCUCCCUGGUAAUCGAAACCCAAGCAAUACCACCACAAACUGGACUAGGACUUUACCUUCACAGCAAGGGGCCGAACCAGUAUAAACUCAUGUGUCCUUUGUCCCGUUUAACCCCUUUAAGCUAACCCAGUUGCGAUGGCUCCACGACUAAGUCCUUCUGCUAGGACAUCUGCCGUGACAAUUCCACGACAGUUGGAGCCCACCGUGGGGCCAGCGCACGGUGGUUUCAAGUUCUUGAAUGGCAGCUUCGAAGGGAUCAAGGGAUACGCCGUGGGCCGGAUGACCAAGAGUCUUCGCGGCAAGCUCUACAUCAACGAUGCAGGCUGGGUCCCCGAGGCUGGCUAAAUCAUGUACGGGUAUCGGGUCCCCUUUGGCGGAAUCCACGUCUUCAUCGGCAAGAUCGGCGAACCGGGCCUUGAGCCGGACAUCUGCACCGACAUCGUCGAGACGGCUCAGCGUGCACGACCUGCCUGAGUUCAACCUGCCGUGAAGCGUGCCUUCGUCGGUUUCAUCCAUGGGGCGGAGAUUGAAGAUGGAUCUGCAUCUGGCGGUGAGACGACCAUCUAUUAUGAUGGUGAGUCAUCCACAGGCGAGACCAACUCAUUGUAUCAACUGGAAGACGGCCGGCUUGGGGGCAAUUCCGAUGGUGACAGCAUUCUGGACCCCUAUAAGCCGCCGAACAGGGUUGCGAUCUUCAUGGCCGGUACACAACCGUUGCUCGGUUCAACAACCGCCGCGGCUAUGACCUCCAGUUCAAUGGCUGCGACAGUGGCUGGUGCUAGCGGCUCUACGCGCCCGCCGGCUCAAGUUCUCACCGAAUUGUUGGAGGCUCUGGCGACUCUGAUGGAGGUAGGAGUAACCCCAGACAACCAGGAACAACACAAGGUAGAUGUGGCUAAGCUGCGAGGUGAGAUAGCUCAAGCCAAGGAAGAGCUAGCGGCUGAGAGCGCUAAGAUGGCUGCAGAACAGGCUGUUUUGGAGGCUCAGGCACAGCGGAUCCAAGCCGAUUCCUGCCGGCUCAUGUUGGAUCAGAACGCUUCCAAUGAAGUCAUGAGGAGGAGACAGCGGAGUCGUCUGCCUCCGAUUUACAAGACGAGGAACCUCUUCAACACGCGUGGCACAGGGACCAGUGACCCUGGGGGUGGAGCGCCGGUUCAGCCACGAGUGAUGGGCUCUCCUCGUGUGAACCAUACCACGCCUCAGCAUGUUUUGACGCCGCCGGGUCAUUAUUCCAACCCCUUAGACAAUAUGAUUGCUGCGGCAACACGAUUGGCGGCCCUGCCAGUUGAGGGUGAGUUUCCGACAACGGUUGAAACGUGGAAGGCCAGAGAACUUCUUCAGACGGCAUUGGAGCAGCAAGCGGCUUAUUCUUAUAGUCGUGAGCGGAUUCAGUCAACCCCUCGACAAAGCUGGAGUUACAGCAGGCACAUUGACUCGCCAGCGCUUUCAAGUCCAGAACAGCGCCGUAACCAACCCCAUGGACAUGACCCGACGCACGAUGGUGCCAAUGCCCAGACUUUGGUGGAUCAGGGCAGAGCACGGGGAGGCCGAGCUGGCGGCUCAUCAACACGCGUCAGCUUACCCAAUGACUUCGGUGGAGGCGGGCAUGAACUCCAGAACCUUGGGUGUGCCAUGUUUAGUGUCGGCUCUACGUAACGAGCGUCUACCCAAGGAUUUCAAGGGUCCUCGUAAGGUGCCUAAUUACACAGCAGAUCAGCCCCCUGAAGCUUGGGUGGAGAGUUAUGAGAGGGCCAUGGAGAUGCUAGAUCUUAGUGAAGCAGCAUGCGCUAAGUAUUUCACCAUGAUGUUAGAAGGGCCAGCUCGUACAUGGUUGAAGGGGCUGCCCGCCAACUCCAUUGGGUCAUGGGCGGAGCUGAAGGCCCGUUUUACUCAAAAUUUCAAAGAUAUGUGCAAGUAGCCUAUGCCAAUCGUGGAUUUAGUCUCUUGUGUUCAAGGUGAGGGCGAGUCAACAACCAGCUGGGUGCGUCGGGUCUCAACUAUCAUACACUCAUCAGAUAGUAUUAACGUCGGCUCAGCAGUUUUAAUGUUGGAGAAAAGUUGUCAUUUCCUCCCUCUCAAACAGAAACUUGGGCAGCUUAAGCGCCAUUGCAGUGACAUGGGGGAGCUCAUGGCGGCCCUUGUCAAGUAUGCCGACUCUGAUGGUACCAAGGACGCCGAGUCUGAUGAUGAAAGGACGGGCAAGGGAAAGAAGAGUAGAGGCAUGAAAGGGCAGCAACACAACUCGGCUAGUCAGGGUGGCAAUGGCAAAUGCAGAGCUGAAGAGAAUCUAGAUUUCGUGGCCAACAUUGGUAUGCAAAAUAGUAACCAGCGGCACAAAGGGAUGCCGGCUCAGUCUAGAGGCUCAUAACUCGACCUUGAGGCGAUGAUGAAUCAGCCGUGUCUGAGGCAGGGAACACGUGAGCGACCAUCGGCCCAUUUGUGGAACGAUUGUUAUAUCAUGAGAGAGUUCAGGGAUUCUCAUAUUUUCCAGCAUAACCAUGGCCCGAAUGGCGGUUCAGGGUCCGGCCCUCAUGGUCCGGGUCAUGGAGGGGGCGGUUCAAGUUCCGGUUUUCAAGGUCAAGGUAAUCAGGGUGGUUACAACCAACAGAAUAAUCAGGGGAAUCAGCAGCAGCAGUCUGGUUAUCAUAGUAACCCAAAGCAAUUGAGUAGUGGGCAAUACCACGUCUUCACCACAAGUUUAUGUAAGCGGGAUCAGAAGCUUCAUAAAAGGGCAGUGAACGUUGUUGAGCCUGCGGUGCCCCGUUAUCUGCGAUGGUCUGAACACCCCAUUCUCUAGAUCUGUGAGGAUCACCUGCCCCGGGUUGAUAAUCCAGGUCACUUGGUGCUGGUGGUGGCGCCUCAGGUUGGAGGAUAUAAAUUCACCAAGGUGCUCAUGGAUGGAGGCAACAGCAUCAAUAUCCUCUACUAGGAAACUUUUCGUCACAUGGGAUUGACCGACAAAAACCUUAAGCCGUCAAACAUUGUUUUUCAUGGUGUGGUGCCUGGUAAGUCGGCAUAUCCAGUUGGUAAAAUAUCUUUGGAGGUUGCUUUUGGAGAUGAGUAUGAUUCCAGAUCUGAGACGUUGACCUUUGAAGUGGUUAAAAUCAAGAGCCCUUAUCAUGCUCUGUUUGGGCGGCCGGCUUAUGCUAAGUUCAUGGCAAGGCCUUGUUAUGUUUAUUUGCAGCUGAAGAUGCCGGGUCACAAGGGCACUAUAAUAGUGCAUGGGAGUCGCAAGAUAACCUUGGAGUGUGAAGAAGGCGAUGCCGCUUAUGCUGAGUCUGUUUGUGCAACAGAGGAGUUGAAAUUUUACAAAGAUAAUGUUGACCCGGCGGAUAUGACAUCUUUGAAGAAGCCAGCCCUAGAGCAUGACCCCUUGUUGAAGUUUAAGUCGGCAUCCUGGCAACUCAUCCAAGCAGUUCAGUAUCAGUGCUAAUUUGGAUCCAAAAUAGGAAAGCGCGCUCAUCGGGUUCAUCCAUGAGAACCGGGACAUCUUUGCAUGGAAACUGUUGGCGAUAUAACUACUAGGUAUGACCCGCCCAGGUGGGGUCGGGUUAUACCAACGGCAGUUCAUUGACACGAAGCCCAUGAAGGAAUCAAAGAUGGCGUUCAUGAGGAUGACUUAUGAAGAGCCCAAGGCCCAAAGGCGGCUUAAGGCCCAUAGGUGUAAACCGUCAUAUAUGCAUGACUUGUAUUCUAAGACAAGUGUAAUUAGUCACCGGGCCGGACACGAUUAUGAGCCGGCCGGGACUCUGUAAGUCGCAGGGCAUCAACUUGUGUAUAUAAAGGGACGACCCGGCGGCAGUUUAGGGCAAGAGACAACAGAUCGAAAGCUAGGUCAAGCGUAUUCGCUCCCUGGUAAUCGAGGCAUAAGCAAUACCACCUCAAACUGGAUUAGGCCUUUACCUUCACCGCAAGGGGCCGAACCAGUAUAAAUCCUGUGUCCUUUGUCACGUUUAACCCCUUUAAGCUAACCUAGUGCGAUGGCUCCACGACUAAGUCCUCACACUAGGACAUCUGCCGUGACAAUCCCACGACAGUUGGCGCCCACCGUGGGGCCAGCGCAUGGUGGUUUCGAGUUCUUACAGGUUGAAGCGAUCAAAGGAUACGCCGUGGGCCGGAUGACCAAAAUUCGUCGCGGCAAGCUCUACAUCGACGACGCAGGCUGGGGCCCCGAGGCCGGCUCAAUCUAGUAUGGGUACCGGGUCCCCUUCGGCAGAAUUCAUGUCUUCACCGGCAAGAUCGGCGAACCGGGCCCUGAGCCGGACACCUGCACCGACAUCAUCGAGACGGCUCAGCAUGCACGACCCGCCCGGGUUCAACCCGCCGUGAAGCGCGCCUUUGUUGGAUUCAUCCAUGGGGGAGAAUUUGAGGAUGGAUCCAUGUCUGGCGGUGAGACAACCAUCUAUUCUGAUGGUGAGUCGUCCACAGGCGAGACUACGUCAUUGCAUCAACUGUAGGACGGCAAGCUUGGGGGCUGUUCCGAUGGCGACAGUAUUCGGGACCCCUAUGAGCCGCCGAACCGGGUCGCGAUUUUCAUGGCCGGUACGCAAUCAGUGCAAAAUUCUUCGACUGCAGCGACAAUGGUUUCCGGGUCAGCAACGGUGACGGCAGCCGGGGCAGGAGGUCAUGCGCGCCCGCCGACUCAGGUCUUGUCUGACUUAUUGGACACUUUGACAACAUUGUUGACAGCAGUGGUUAACCCGACAAAUCAAACUCAGCAUAACGCGGAAGUUGCAAAGCUACGGGAUGAGAUAGCUCAGGCCAUGGAAGAUUUGGCAGCUGAGAACACAAGGAUGACUAUGGAGCGAGCUGCUCUAGAUGCUCAUGCACAACGGAUCCAGGCUGAUUCCUUCCGGCUCUCGUUGGAUCAGAAUGCUUCGAACGAAGUCCUGAGGAGAAGGCACCGAAGUCGUCUGCCUCCGGUUUACGAGGCGAGGAACCUCUUCAACACACCUGGUGCGGGGACCAGUGACCCGCUAGGGGUAAACCGGGCAGUAGCCGCGCCUGGGAAUGGAGCGCCAGCUCAACCACGCACGACGGACCCGCCUUGUCAGAAUAAUAUCCCACCACAACAUGUGCCGACACCACUGGGUCAUUAUGCUAACCCUUGGAUAACAUGAUCACUGUGGCAUCGCGAUUGGCGGCUCUCCCAGUUAAAGACGAGUCUCCAGCUGCGGUUGAAACGCGGAGUGCUAGAGAACUUCUUCAGACGGCAUUGGUGCAGCAGGAGGCUUAUUCUUACAGUCGUGAGAGGAUCCAUUCAACCCCUCGCCCAAGCCAGAGUUAUAGCAGACACAUGGACUUCCCGGCGGUGUCAAGCAGUGAGCAGCAUCGUAACCCGCCCUGUAAUACUCAGGCCCUAAUGGAUCAGGAUAGAGCACAUCGGGAGGCUGAGCUGGCGGCUCAGUACGCGGCUCAUCAACCAUCUCUGGUUUAUCCGACAACUUUGGUGGAAGCAGGCGUGACCUCUAGAAGCACGGGUGUACCAUGUUUAGUGCCAUCUCUGCGAAAUGAGCGUUUGCCCAAGGAUUUCAAAGGACCUCGUAAGGUGCCCAACUACACAGCCGACUUACCCCCUCAGGCGUGGAUUGAGAGUUACGAGAUGGCCAUGGAGCUGCUGGAGGUUAGCGAUGUUGCAUGUGCCAAAUGCUUCACCAUGAUGCUGGAUGGGACAGCUCGUACUUGGUUAAAAGGGUUGCCUGCCAAUUCCAUCGGGUUGUGGGCCGAGUUUAAAGCCCGGUUUAUCCAGAAUUUGAAGGAUACGUGCAAGCAGCCCAUGUCGAUUGUGGAUUUCGAUGCCUGCACCCAAGAAGAGGGCGAGUCAACAACCCUUUAGGUGCGACGGGUCAAAGCCAUCUUGCACUCAUCGGAUAACAUCAAUGCCGGCUCAACAGUCCUCAUGUUAGAGAAGAAUUGCUGUUUUUUGCCUCUUAAACAGAAGCUAGGGCGGCUCAAGUGCCACUGCAAUGAUAUGGGGGAGCUGAUGGCCACUCUAAUUAAAUAUGCCGACUCUGAUAGUACCAAGGACCUCGAGUCUGAUGAUGGAAAGCCGGGAAAGGGAAAGAAGAGUGGCAACACCAAGGGUCAGCAUCGUAACCCGGCAAGCCAGGGGGCAAUGGUAAGCGCAAGGCCGAUAAUAAUUCAGAUUUUGUGGCCAAUACCAAUACGCAGAAUAAUGGUCAGCGUCGCAAGGGGAAGCCACCUCCUCGGGCAGGAGGGUCAGGUCUCAAUCUCGAGCAGAUGCUGAAUCAGCCCUGCCCAAAGCAUGGUUCGCGAGAAAGACCGUCCAGUCACCUUUGGAAGGACUGCUACAUUAUGAAGGAUUUCAAAAAUUCUAUUUUAUUCCAGAACAAUCAUGGGCCAAGCGGUGUCUCAGGUUCCGGUGGUGGCAGUUCUCAUGGCCCGGGUUACGGUGGUGGCGGUUCUAAUUCCGGUUUCCAUGGUCACCCAGGCAAUCAAGGCAAUCAGAGUGGUUAUCAUCAACAAUCCGGCCAGGGAAAUCAGCAAUAGCAAUUUGGGUAUCAGAGUAACCUGAAACAGUUGAAUAGUGGGCAGUACCACGUCUUCAGCACAAGUUUAUGCAAGCGGGAUCAAAAGCUCCAUAAAAGGGAAGUGAACACCGUUGAGUCGGCAGUUCCCCGUUACUUGUGAUGGUUUGAGCAUCCCAUUGUGUGGAGUCGUGAGGAUCACCCGCCCCAGGUUGAUAAUCCGGGUCACUUGGCUUUACUGGUGGCGCCUCUGGUUGGAGGAUAUAAAUUCACUAAGGUACUCAUGGAUGGAGGUAGCAGUAUAAAUAUCCUUUAUUAUGAAACUUUCCAUCGCAUGGGAUUGACUGAUAAAAAUCUUAAACCGUCGAACACUGUCUUUCAUGGUGUGGUGCCUGGUAAGUCGGCAUACCCGGUUGGUAAAAUAGCCCUGGAGGUUGCUUUUGGAGAUGAUUAUGAUUCCAGAUCUGAGACGUUGACCUUCAAAGUAGUCAAGAUUCAGAGUCCGUAUCACGCUCUAUUUGGACGGUCGGCUUACGCCAAGUUCAUGGCACGUCCCUGUUAUGUUUAUCUGCAGCUCAAAAUGCCAGGUCACAAGGGAACUAUCACAAUGCAUGGAAGCCGGAAGAUAGCUCUGGAGUGUGAAGGAGAUGCGGCUUAUGGUGAGUUUGUCUGUGCAACAGAGGAAUUGAAGUUUUCCAAAGAUAAUGGUGACCCGGCAGAUAUGACAUCUUUGAAGAAGCCAACUACGGAGCAUGAACCGGACUUGAAGUUUAAGUCGGCGGAUGACACCAAGCUAGUUGAUUUCGUUCCUGGCGAUUCAUCCAAUUCAUCCAAGAAGUUCAGCAUGAGUGCUAAUCUGGAUCCAAAAUAGGAAGGCGUGCUCAUCGAGUUCAUCCGUGAGAAUCGGGACAUCUUUGCAUGGAAACCUUCUGACAUGCCGGGUGUACCGAGGGAACUCGCUCAGCACACUUUUAAUAUUGAUCCAGAUUUUAAGCCGGUCAAGAAAUUUCUUCGUCGUUUUAAUGAAGAGAGGCAUAAAGCCAUUGUUGAAGAAGUGGCCCGGCUCUUGGCGGCUUGAUUCAUCGUUGAAGUUUUUCAUCCUGAGUGGUUGGCUAACCCGGUGCUAGUGCUUAAGAAGAACGGCACUGGGCAUAUGUGUGUGGAUUACACGGACUUAAAUAAAGCUUGUCCGGCUGAUCCUUUUGCUCUCCCUUGUAUUGGUCAAAUUAUUGAUGCGACGGCGGGUUGUGAGCGUUUGAGCUUUCUAGAUGCUUAUUCUGGUUAUCAUUAGAUCAAAAUGGUAGUUAAGGACCAGGAGAAGACAGCUUUCAUUACUCCGUUUGAAGCCUUCUGCUAUGUGUCCAUGCCUUUUGGGCUCAAGAGUGCCCAGGCGUCUUACCAACGGUGUGUGCAAAAUUGCCUUCAUAAUCAAAUAGGGCAUAAUAUUCAUGCUUAUGUGGCUGACAUUGUGGUGAAAUCCAGAAAGAAGGAAACCCUGAUUGAUGAUUUGAAAGAGACCUUUGAUAAUCUCCUGGUUUAUAAGAUGAUGCUUAACCCGGCCAAGUGUGUUUUUGGUGUACCAGCUGGUAAGCUUUUGGGUUUUCUGGUUUCCAAGAGAGGCAUUGAAGCUAACCCGGAGAAGAUCAAGGCCAUUACUUCCUUGGCUAAGCCGACAUGUGUCAAUGAUGUUGAACGUCUGGCAGGUCAUAUUGCCGCCUUAAGCCGGUUCAUAAGCUGGUUGGGUGAAAAGGCUAUACCGCUGUACCAGAUGAUGAAUAAAACAGAUCACUUUGUCUGGAGUGAUGCUGCUAAUCAAGCAUUUGAGGACAUGAAGAAACAGUUGGCCGAGCCGCCCGUUCUGGCUGCUCCCAUUGAUAAAGAUCCUUUGCUGUUAUAUGUGGCUGCCAACAGUCGAGUUGUUAGUGUUGCCAUUGUGGUGGAAAGAAAGGAAACAGGCAAAGAAUAUCCGGUUCAAUGGCAGGUUUACUAUAUCAGUGAGGUCCUUACUGAGUCCAAACAGAGGUAUCCACAUUGGCAGAAGCUUGUGUAUGGGGUUUUUAUGGCUAGCUGGAAGCUUAAGCAGUAUUUUCUGGGUCAUCCUAUCAUUGUGGUUAGUUCUGCCCCCUUAGGGGAUAUCAUUCAAAACAGAGAAGCCACAGGUCGGGUAGCCAAGUGGGCCAUUGAGCUUCGACCUCAUGGUUUAAAGUAUGUGCCCCGUACAGCCAUCAACCACUUGUGGAUUUGAUCAAUGAUUGGACAAAAUUGCAGAUGCCUGAGGAGAAGUCGGAUAACACAUAUUGGACUAUUCACUUUGAUGGGUCCAGGCAGUUGGAAGGCUCGGGGGCUGGAGUUGUAUUAACCUCCCCACAAGGUGAUAAAUUUUCUUAUGUUCUCCGGCUUAUGUUCCCUUGUACUAACAAUGCAGCUGAGUAUGAGGCCUUGCUCCAUUAUCUUCGGAUGGCUAAGGAGAUGAACUUAAGCUGGGUGAGGUGUUUCGGCGACUCAGAUCUAGUGGCUCAACAAGUUUCUGGAACUUGGGAUUCUAAGGACCCACUAAUGGGGCUUAUCAUCGAGAGGUUGAUGCUAUUGCGGGUCACUUUAAAGGUUAUCAAGUUGAACAUGUUGAUUGCAGGAAAAAUGAGGCGGCUAAUGCUUUAAGCCGGUUAGGGUCUCAGCAUAAGCCGGUGCCACCUAACACUUUCCUGGAUAUUCUGCAUAACCCUUCUGUGAAAUUGCCUACAGAGGAAGAUCUGGCUAUUCCUGACCCGGAAGCACAAUUGGUGACAGCUCUUCAUGCGAUUCCUGAUUGGACAGUUCCAUAUUUGGCUUAUAUGACCCGGGGCGAGUUACCUGAGGAUGAAACUUUGGCCAGGCAGAUAACCCGGCUGUCCAAGUCAAUGACUAUUGUUCAUGGUGAGUUGCAUCAUCGCAGUGUCAUAGGGACGUUUCAACAUUGUGUUUCUCCAGAGGAGGGCCGUGAGAUUCUGCAUGAAAUUCAUGAAGGCGAUUAUGGCCAUCAUGCCGGCUCUAAGUCUCUUGUGGCUAAGGCUUUUCGUCAUGGAUUUUGUUGGCUGACGGCUCACGCUGAUGCUGAGGAUCUAGUCACUAAAUGUGAUGGUUGUCAGAAAUUCUCCCGACAAGCUCAUGUGCCGGCUCAAGAAUUGAGGAUGAUUCCAAUUACUUGGCUGUUUGCAGUCUGGGGGCUCGAUAUGGUUGGACCUUUCAAAAGGUCCAAAGAUAAAAAGACACACCUCCUGGUGGCAGUUGACAAAUUUACAAAGUGGGUUGAGGCAGGGCCGGUCAGUAAAUGUGACGCAGCGACGGCGGUUCAAUUCAUCAAAAAGGUGAUAUUCCGUUUUGGCUUUCCCCACAGUAUCAUAACUGAUAAUGGCACUAAUAUAUCCAAGGGUGCUAUGAAAGAGUUUUGUCAACUUGAGCAUAUUCGACUUGAUGUAUCGUCCGUGGCUCACCCCCAAUCCAAUGGUCAAGCUGAGAGAGCCAAUCAAGAAAUUUUGAGAGGCAUCAAGCCCCAGCUUAUGGUUCCUCUACAAAGGACGCCGGGUUGUUGGGUGGAGGAGUUACCUUCCGUGUUAUAGAGUAUCAAUACUACCCCCAACAGAUCUACGAGUUACACGCCCUUCUUCAUGGUUUACAGAGCAGAGGCGGUUCUCCCUAGUGACAUCCGUUUUGACUCGCCCCGUGUGGCGGCUUAUGUUGAAGCUGAGAAUGAAAAAGCACGUCAGGAUGCACUUGAGUUGUUAGAUGAGGAGCGUGACAUCGCGGCGGCUCGUUCGGCGAUUUACCAGCAAGAUCUGCACCGUUAUCACAGUCGCCGGGUUAAAACCAGAACUUUUCAAGAAGGUGACCUGGUGCUCCGGCUUAUUCAGGAUCAGACUGAUAUGCAUAAACUAUCCCCACCUUGGGAAGGGCCUUUUGUGGUCAGCAAGAAUUUGAAUAAUGGAUCAUACUACCUUAUCGAUGUUCGAGACCACAAGGACUCAGGCACGUCGGAGGAGGAGAUCCGUCGGCCGUGGAAUAUUGCUCAUCUUCGGCCUUACUACACUUGAGCCACCGGCUCUUACACUGUACAUAUUUCGACCAUGUAUAUAUUGUGAUAAUUAUAAUAAAACCGGCAUCCAUGACAAUGCAGGGCCUUUGUUGUUUCGUUUCCAAGUGUAACGAGUCUUUUUAAUUCUAAUGGUCACUUGGGGGCUUCCUGAUCAUUGAGCACACCUGUGAAUAUCCCUCUUGAUCGGCUCAAUGCCACAUCACUAAAUGGUCACUUGGGGGCUUCCUGCUCAUCGAGCACAGCUGUGAAUAUACCUCUUGAUCGGCGGAACGCCACAAAGCACUCGGGGGCUUCCUAUUCAAACAUAGGUGUAUUCACCAAAGAGAACAUAGCGUUACUACCCUUGUGAGCUGGGUUGGAACACGAGGUGUAUUCACCAAAACAUUCCGGGUUCUCCUGCUUUGUAGAGUCUGCCACUCCGCCCUGGUAAUCCCGGAAUGACAAGGCGAACUCUUGACAAGUCAAUCUUACAUAGACCCUAAACUUGUGAACUCUUGACAGGUCAAUCUUACAUAGACCCUGAACUUGUCUAGGUUAAAACGGCGGUCAUGUGAGGCCGGAUUCACAAAGUUUAAAAGGAUAACUCAGUGUCUUGGCGGCCCAUGAAAGCCUCAGAGCUUUAGGCUUGGCGGCCUAUGAAAGCCUCAUUUUCUUGCUUUGAUUCCUUUUUUGAACAUUUUUGGGUUCAUCUUGACAUAUGAUUUAAAAUGAUUCAGGCCAUGUAGCCUCAAUUCUUACUGCUCAUAUUUGAGUAUAUCUGUGGUUUCUGAUAACCCGGCCUAGCUUUGGAGGAUAAGUCGCUAGUAUAUGAUGAUAUUAAUACUUGGAAAUAUUGUCUUCUAAGUUUUGGGUUAUUACCCUUAUUGCAUUGAUAUGGUAAGCCGGCAGUUUAAUCACAUAUCACAGGUAUGAUAUUUUUGAUUAUAUCUAAUUAUGAUUGAAUCGACCCUGGUUAUGCACUGUUUUAGUCACCGGUGGUUUUAUAUGGGGUAUUAUGAACCGUUUUGCGGUAAACCGCCAGGGCACUUGUGAUUUACUUGUGUGCAGGGUAAUGAUUAAUCUCAUCUGCAUAAACUGACGUCAUCAUACAAAAUGGUAGCUUUCCAAAUGGUGGAUCAAACAGUGUUGUGCAAAAUAAAAACGUGCACGAUGGCACAACAGAUCAAAGUUUCACUAGCCUAUUACAUGACUCAGUGAGCCAAAAAAGAUCAAGUGUUUUCAGAAGUUCAAAUAUUUUAACCGCCCAGCGGAUCAAUCUUCUUCGUCCUGACGACUUGAAGCCUCUGGAUCAUCCUUCUCCGGUUCUUCGUCCUCCUCCGCCGUUUGAAAGUUUGGUGAUGACCAAUCAAUGCCACAUAAGGCAUGGAAUUCAGCUUCAUCAUCUAUAAGGUCGGAUAGGUCAAAUUCAGGGGCGAAAGUAUGCUUACGGAUUGGGGGUGCCAGAUUCAUCACCUUAUAAGCCGGCGUGGGGAUCUUCUGAUUCUCUGCAUCAUAAGCCGGCUGAUAUUUUGAUAGAUUUGUCUCAUCACAGAGUCGCCAGACGAGGUAUUUCUUUCACACAGAUAGCAAAGUCCUUUUGAUCAAAUGAAGUGUCAUCCUCUUUCAAGCUUGGAUAUCCAGUAGCUACCUCAGCCAGCUCUAGCUCUGGUAACCAUGCCUUAGCCUGUCUUAGAGCUGUCACGACCCCGGCUCCUGCAGAUGAAUGCUUUAUCUUUUCAAUCCUAGAAGGCAGAAUAGAGAGUUUUUUCAAGACAUCACUCAAGAGAGUAGGUGCUUGGUUAGUCGGAGAUAUCGUGGCCAGUGCGCACUGAGUUCCAGUAUAUAGCUGUUCAACAAGUGUAUAAAUAGCCUUGAGCUUCACAAGCAUUUCUUUGCUAAGAUUGCUGCUCCUGGGACCUGAGUAAUAAUCAUCGAUUGGUUAGAGGCAGUUUAUACCAUCAAGGAAGAGAUUUAAUUUUGAUGUUAGCAAGACGACUCACCAAAGAUAGCAGAAACCAUCUGGGAUACACGGUAAUUUAAACCGGUAAGCUCAGUGGUUACCUCUUGAAGAGCCGCCUCCGCCUUUUCAGCCUGCUGCGUCAAGGCAGUUUUCUCUUCAGCCCAGGCAUUUCUUUCAACCUCAAAGUUGGUCUUCAGUUUUUCCAUCUCAGCAACGCUAAAUUGGAAUUUUGAAUCGGCUUUCCGGGUCUCAGAUUCUUGAUUCUCAAGCCGGGUCUUUGCAUCAGCUAAUUGUGAUUGAAGUUCAGCAGUAGCAUCCUGUACAAGAACAGAGUUGCAAACACAUUCAUAUCCGGGUUAUAGCAAUAUAAGUCCCAAGCCUUUUGCAAGCAAAAACACAUGGCACUUGGGGGCUAAUGCCUGCCGAAAAAUUCUUCAUACAACGGCUCAUGUGAAUAAGUCCCAAGCACUUUGCAAGCAAGAGUACUUGGCACUUGGGGGCUAAUUCAUACCGCUGGCAUCUCUUUACUACUUUAUGAUGACCCAGUUGUGUCGUAAACAAUCACAACCGGUUCAUGGGGGCUAUACAGGUAAGCUCUCUUUUAUGAACAAUGGUGAACAGGACCGGCUCAUUCAUGCUGAUUAAACCGGCCCUUGGGGACUACGGAUGCAAUGUUAAUUGUUUGAAAUCCGGUUCAACUAUAAAUGUGAAAGCCCGCCUUGGAAGGAUUCUACAAAAGAUGCUCAUGGUUAUUCUAAGUCUACAUCAUAUUCAAUCUUAUCAUACCCAGUAGACUUGGGGGCUGGCAGGAUAUACAUAACUUAUUUAAGCAGGAAUUCAUACCUCAUAUUUUUGAUGCAUCUCCUUCACCACAUCGAUUUCAAGAUCGCGGCUGGUGUGUACUUGGUUGAGGUAGCCAGAGAGUACUUCACUACUACUCAAUUGAGAAUAGUGGGCGGCAUCAAAUCUCACUUUCCACUUUUCAAUGAACUCCUAUUUAGCGGAGUGCUUAGCCAAGACAGUUGGAUUUCCCGGUUCUCUAAAGCCGGUGCCAGAGAUCAUAACAUCAUCGGCAUGUGUCUCGGACGGCUUAAGUGGGCUUGAUGAUUCAGUACUCAAAGGAUUGAGUUUUGUUUGGUCACUGGAGAGGUCAGGAAUCUAUGGUGGAACAUCAUGGGCAGGCUCGUCGGGUUGUUUUUCAGAAACGUCUGACGCUGGGACUUGCUUCUCCGGCUCAUGGACUUUGGGAUCUUCAGCUAGCUUGGUCACCUUUGCCUUCUUACUAGGUUUUUCUUUCCCACUGUAGGGGUUAUGAGAGAUCAGUACAAGUAUAAGAGCAUAAGGAGGUAGAGAAUAAAAGAAAUUGUUAUUACCCAGGGGCAGUCUUGAAAGCCGGCAACUGGGUCUGAGAUGAGUCGCCGGAAGAAGAGCGAGAAGCCUCCUGGUAGUUUGAAUCGGAAGAAUUAAGUGGCUGGCGAAUGAGACCCGCCAGUGGGUAAAAAGAGUUUAAGUUCGGAAGGACCUCGUUUCGGCGUUUUCGCGGAACUAGAGUAUUCGGUAAGCCGGAGGAUAAUUCUUCACCCCCGCUGGUCAGAGUCUGUCGCCGGCUCUCGUGUUGCUGUUGCUUCAAAAGAAAGUGAGGAUCCGAAUGAGCUAAGGGGUGUGAAAACCUUACUUUCCGGGUUACUAGUCGAAUUUUCUGUCUUGGCAAAGGUGCUGAGCCAGAGGAAAUAAUAGUUACCUCUUCUUCAACUGCUUUGCUGGCCCCCGUGUCAUCCUGAUAAUAAUCAGUGUCAAUAAGGUAAUUGAAAAAGGAGCCAAGGGAGUCAAGGGCUACCUCCGACUCAGAGCCGUCAUUCAGUUCAAACAUCUCGGGGGCACUUGAUUUCUUCUUAUUUUUCUUGAGUGUUUUCUUGGCGGCUUUCUUGGCAGCCCUGGCCUUUUUCGCAGCUUCAUGGUCAUAUUGUUUUUUUUGAAAAGUCAGAGUCAGCCUGUGAAUAUCAUCAAAGAUUGAGUUAAUAGAAUAUUUGGAUAAUGAGGGAAAAGUAAGUGAUUUAGAGACUCACAUCCGGUGGCGGGUUAAGUUUGCACAAAGGGUUCAGACCAACUAGGCGGCAGUCUUCCGGAUCUUCAUUCAGAAGGACCUUUGUGUUCUCAUUGAUUGCUUCAUCAGUUAAACGCUCGGAAAUGUGGCGCAGUGGAUCCUUUAUACCACCCGUGUAAGUACGCAUUAAGCUGGGUCGGUGGCUCAAGGGUAUGAUUCGCCAGGAAACCCAGCACCGAACCAAGUCAAUGCUAGUUAACCCAUUUCCCAGCAGAGCCUUGACCUUUGCAAUGGUGGGGGCAAGCUUUGCAUGUUCAACGGUGGUAAGCUUUUCGGGAAGAUGAUGCUUUGGGUCAAGACGCUGGGCACGAUAACCCGGCAGUGGGUUCUCAUCAGCCGGAGAGGUGUCUUUGCAGUAAAACCAUGUUUGGUUCCAAUCUUUGGGGUGACUCGGCAAGCGAGCACAGGGGAAGAUAGCAUCUCUUCUUCGUUGAAUUGAGACUCCGCCAAGUUCCAAGCUGGGCCCAUUUGUAAACUCGUUUUGGCGGUUUAAAUAAAAAAAUCCCUAAAGAGUUCAACAUUGGGUUCCUCUUGAAGGUAUACUUCGCAGAAAACUUAAAAAUUGCAAAUGUUUGAGACAGAAUUGGGUCCGAUGUCUUGAGGAUGGAGUUGAAAGAAGUGCAAAACUACUCGGAAUUUUUUUGAUCCGGGCGGUGAGAAGCCCCGAUUCAUGUGAUCAGUAAAAACGAUGACUUCACCAUCCUUUGGGUGAGGUUUUUCUUCGCUUGGUUUGGGGGAGUGCCAAUGCAUGAUGUCUUUUGCUGGUAAAUAGCCGAUUUUGACAAAGUCUUGGAGUGUGUUCUCUGUAACAAUGGAGGGAACCCAAUUACAUGAGGUGACUGUCUUCGGCGGCAUUGUAAAGGAAGAAGCCUAAAAGAAAGAAAAUUUUGCCGGUUUAAGUUGAUUCAUUAAGCCAGAAGUAAAACAUUACAGUAUGUAUUCAGACUGGCGGCUUAAGUGGGGCCAAAUGAUAUAUGGAUAGUUAUAAAAUGGAGAUGUAAGCCGCCAUGACAACAAUGGUAUUCAGGAUUUAUCAAAGAGCGAAUUCUACUAAGUGUUGAAACAAACAAGUUUCACAGAUUGAUGCUAGGAUUUCAGAUCUGCGACACUUCGCAUAAUGGAAAAUAUUUUUGACCUAAAUUACAGUGCUCGAGUAGUUCAUAUGUUCAGAUUGGUUUUUUCUUACACGAAGGAGAUGAUCUAGUAACAAAAGCAAGUAUCACGGCUGCCGCCGUGCAGGAGAAGUGCUAAGUUUGGAUCAAAGUUACAAACUAUAGCGAAGAACAAAGGUAAACUCUGAAGAACUUCGAGAAACCCUAAUGGAGAUCUACAGUGGAGAGAGGACAUGAACUUACUAGAUCCACCGAGCAAUGGAGAGGCGCCACAGUUUCUCUGGUCUCGUUCAGGUCGAUGCAGCGGCCGGAGUCGAGGAAGCUGGCGGGUUCGGCGGCGGUGCUCAGGCGUGCGGGUGCGUUGCAAAGAUAGAGGUUGAAGAUGAGAAGAAGAAGGGGGAAAAUGGAAGGGCUGUCGGGCCCUAUUUAUAAGGAAAGGGUCAAUAAGCGAGCGCGAGAAACGAGGAGGCCAAAGAAUGAUUAUCUAGCUGUUCAAACGCCUCGAUUUUCAGGAUGGUUAUUAAGAUAAGGAUCCAUUAGAUAUGCUGGGUAUUGUGCGAAAUUAAUGGCAGAUGACAUCAUGGCGGUUUUCCAUAAUUCCAAGAGAUGACGUCAUGGCGGGUUACAAUAUCUUGUGAGAACAAGUGAAGAAGGAUUUUUCUUAAGUGUUGAAGGUUGACAUGAACAAGUUCAAAUCAACCUGGGGCCUAAUGUUGGGGAUAUAACUACUAGGUAUGACCCGCCCAGGAGGGGCCGAGUUAUACCAACAGCGGUUCAUUGUCACGAAGCCCAUGAAGGAAUCGAAGAUGGCGGUUCAUGAGGAUAUCUUAUGAAGAGCCCAAGGCCCAAAGGCGGCUUAAGGCCCAUAGGUGUAAACCGUCAUGUAUGCAUGACUUGUAUGUAAGGCAAAUGUAAUUAGUCACUGGGCCAGAAAUGAUUAUGAGCCGGCCGGGACUCUGUAAGCCGCAGGGCGUCAACCUGUGUAUAUAAAGGGACGACCCAGCGACAGUUUAGGGCAAGAGACAACAGAUCGAAAGCUAGGUCAAGUGUAUUCGCUCCCUGGUAAUCGAGGCAUAAGCAAUACCACCUCAAACUGGAUUAGGCCUUUACCUUCACCGCAAGGGGCCGAACCAGUAUAAAUCAUGUGUCCUUUGUCCCAUUUAACCCCUUUAAGCUAACCUAGUGCGAUGGCUCCACAACUAAGUCCUCACACUAGGACAUCUGUCGUGACAAUCCCACGAUAGAAACCUUCAGACAUGUCAGGUGUACCGAGGGAACUCGCUGAGCACACUCUCAAUAUUGAUCCAAAGUUUAAACCGGUCAAACAAUUUCUUCACCGUUUCAAUGAAGAGAGGCGCAAGGCUAUUGGUGAGGAGGUAGCCCGGCUCUUGGCGCCGGGUUCAUUGUUGAAGUUUUCCACCCUGAGUGGCUGGCUAACCCGGUGCUGGUACUUAAGAAAAAUGGCACCUGGCGCAUGUGUGUGGAUAAUACGGACAUAAACAAAGCUUGUCCGGCUGAUCCCUUUGCUCUCCCCCAUAUUGAUUAGAUUAUUGAUGCUAGGGAGGAUUGUGAGCGUUUAAGUUUUUUGGAUGCUUAUUCUGGUUAUCAUUAGAUCAAGAUGGCAGUUAAGGACCAGGAGAAAACAGCCUUCAUCACUCCCUUUGGAGCCUUCUGUUAUGUAUCUAUGCCUUUUGGGCUCAAGAGUGCCCAGGCGACUUGCCAGCGGUGUGUGCAGAAUUGUCUUCAUGAUCAGAUAGGGCGCAAUGUUCAUGCCUAUGUGGAUGAUAUUGUGGUGAAAUCCAGAAAGAAGGAAACCUUGAUAGUGAAGGAAAUAUGCCCUAGAGGCAAUAAUAAAGUAUUAUUUAUUUCCUUAUAUCAUGAUAAAUGUUUAUUAUUCAUGCUAGAAUUGUAUUAACCGGAAACAUAAUACAUGUGUGAAUACAUAGACAAAUAGAGUGUCACUAGUAUGCCUCUACUUGACUAGCUCGUUAAUCAAAGAUGGUUAUGUUUCCUAGCCAUAGACAUGAGUUGUCAUUUGAUUAACGGGAUCACCUCAUUAGGAGAAUGACGUGAUUGACUUGACCCAUUCCGUUAGCUUAGCACCCGAUCGUUUAGUAUGUUGCUAUUGCUUUCUUCAUGACUUAUACAUGUUCCUAUGACUAUGAGAUUAUGCAACUCUCGUUUACCGGAGGAACACUUUGUGUGCUAUCAAACGUCACAACGUAAAUGGGUGAUUAUAAAGGUGCUCUACAGGUGUCUCCAAAGGUACUUGUUGGGUUGGCGUAUUUCGAGAUUAGGAUUUGUCACUCCGAUUGUCGGAGAGGUAUCUCUGGGCCCACUCAGUAAUGCACAUCACUAUAAGCCUUGCAAGCAUUGUGACUAAUGAGUUAGUUGCGGGAUGAUGUAUUACGGAACGAGUAAAGAGACUUGCCGGUAACGAGAUUGAACUAGGUAUCGAGAUACUGAUGAUCGAAUCUCGGGCAAGUAACAUACCGAUGACAAAGGGAACAACGUAUGUUGUUAUGCGGUCUGACCGAUAAAGAUCUUCGUAGAAUAUGUGGGAGCCAAUAUGGGCAUCCAGGUCCCGCUAUUGGUUAUUGACCAGAGAAGUGUCUCGGUCAUGUCUACAUAGUUCUAGAACCCGAAGGGUCCGCACGCUUAACGUUACGAUGACAGUUUUAUUGAGUUUUGAUGUACCGAAGGAGUUCGGAGUCCCGGAUGAGAUCGGGGACAUGACGAGGAGUCUCGAAAUGGCCGAGACGUAAAAAUCGAUAUAUUGGACGACUAUAUUCGGACUUCGGAAAGGUUCCGAGUGAUUCGGAUAUUUUUCGGAGUACCGGAGAGUUACGGGAAUUCGUAUUGGGCCUUAAUGGGCCAUACGGGAAAGGAGAGAAAGGCCUCAAAAGGUGGCCGCGCCCCUCCCCAUGAUCUGGUCCGAAUUGGACUAGGGAAGGGGGGCGCCCCCUUCCUUCUUUCUCCUUCUCCCUUCCCUUCUCCUAUUCCAACAAGGAAAGGAGGAGUCCUACUCCCGGUGGGAGUAGGACUCCCCCUUCUGGCGCGCCUCUCCUCCCUAGGCCGGCGGCCUCCCCCUUGCUCCUUUAAAUACGGGGGCAGGGGGGCACCCCAUGAACACACUUGAUAUACGAUAUUUUAGCCGUGUGCGGUGCCCCCCUCCACCAUAUUACACCUCGAUAAUACCGUUGCGGAGCUUAGGCGAAGCCCUGCGUCAGUGGAACAUCAUCAUCGUCACCACGCCGUCGUGCUGACGAAACUCUCCCUCAACACUCGGCUGGAUCGGAGUUCGAGGGACGUCAUCGAGCUGAACGUGUGUAGAACUCGGAGGUGCCGUGCGUUCGGUACUUGAUUGGUCGGAUCGGAAAGACGUACGACCACAUCAACCGCGUUGUGAUAACGCUUCCGCUGUCGGUCUACGAGGGUACGUGGACAACACUCUCCCCUCUCGUUGCUAUGCAUCACCAUGAUCUUGCGUGUGCGUAGGAAUUUUUUUGAAAUUACUACGUUCCCCAACAGUGGCAUCCGAGCCUGGUUUUAUGUGUUGAUGCUAUGCACGAGUAGAACACAAGUGAGUUGUGGGCGAUAUAAGUCAUACUGCUUACCAGCAUGUCAUACUUUGGUUCAGCGGUAUUGUGAGAUGAAGCGGCCCGGACCGACAUUACGCGUACGCUUACGCGAGACUGGUUUCACCGUUCGGAGCACUCGUUGCCUAAAGGUGACUGGCGGGUGUCUGUCUCUCUCACUUUAGUUGAACCGAGUGUGGCUACGCCCGGUCCCUGCGAAGGUUAAAACAACACCAACUUGACAAACUAUCGUUGUGGUUUUGAUGCGUAGGUAAGAACGGUUCUUGCUAAGCCCGUAGCAGCCACGUAAAACAUGCAACAACAAAGUAGAGGACGUCUAACUUGUUUUUGCAGGGCAUGUUGUGAUGUGAUAUGGUCAAGACAUGAUGUGAUAUAAUUUGUUGUAUGAGAUGAUCAUGUUUUGUAACCGAGUUAUCGGCAACUGGCAGGAGCCAUAUGGUUGUCGCUUUAUUGUAUGAAAUGCAAUCGCCAUGUAAUAGUUUUACUUUAUCACUAAGCGGUAGCGAUAGUCGUAAAAGCAAUUAGUUGGCGAGACGACAACGAUACUACGAUGGAGAUCAAGGUGUCGCGCCGGUGACGAUGGUGAUCAUGACGGUGCUUCGGAGAUGGAGAUCACAAGCACAAGAUGAUGAUGGCCAUAUCAUAUCACUUAUAUUGAUUGCAUGUGAUGUUUAUCUUUUAUGCAUCUUAUCUUGCUUUGAUUGACGGUAGCAUUAUAAGAUGAUCUCUCACUAAAAUUUCAAGAUAAAAGUGUUCUCCCUGAGUAUGCACCGUUGCGAAAGUUCUUCGUGCUGAGACACCACGUGAUGAUCGGGUGUGAUAGGCUCUACGUUCAAAUACAAUGGGUGCAAAACAGUUGCACACGCGGAAUACUCAGGUUAAACUUGACGAGCCUAGCAUAUGCAGAUAUGGCCUCGGAACACGGAGACCGAAAGGUCGAGCGUGAAUCAUAUAGUAGAUAUGAUCAACAUGGUGAUGUUCACCAUUGAAACUACUCCAUCUCACGUGAUAAUCGGACAUGGUUUAGUUGAUUUGGAUCACGUAAUCACUUAGAUGAUUAGAGGGAUAUCUAUCUAAGUGGGAGUUCUAAAGUAAUAUGAUUAAUUGAACUUGAAUUUAUCAUGAACUUAGUCCUGAUAGUAUUUUGCAAAUUAUGUUGUAGAUCAAUAGCUCGCAUUGUUGCUUCCCUGUGUUUAAUUUUUGAUAUGUUCCUAGAGAAAAAUUAUGUUGAAAGAUGUUAGUAGCAAAGAUGCGGAUUGGAUCCGUGAUCUGAGGAUUAUCCUCAUUGCUGCACAGAAGAAUUAUGUCCUUGAUGCAUCGCUAGGUGACAGACCUAUUGCAGGAGCAGAUGCAGACGUUAUGAAUGUUUGGCUAGCUCAAUAUGAUGACUACUUGAUAGUUUAGUGCACCAUGCUUAACGGCUUAGAAUGGGGACUUCAAAGACGUUUUGAACGUCAUGGACCAUAUGAGAUGUUCCAGGAGUUGAAGUUAAUAUUUCAAGCAAAUACCUGAGUUGAGAGAUAUGAAGUCUCCAACAAGUUCUGUAGCUAAAAGAUGGAGGAGAAUCGCUCAACUAGUGAGCAUGUGCUCAGAUUGUCUGGGUACUACAAUCGCCUAAAUCAAGUGGGAGUUUAUCUUCCAGAUAAAAUAGUGAUUGACAGAAUUCUCUAGUCACCAUCACCAUGUUAGUAGAACUUCGUGAUGAACUAUAGUAUGCAAGGGAUGACGAAAGUAAUUCCCGAGCUCUUCGUGAUGCUGAAAUCGACGAAGGUAGAAAUCAAGAAAAACAUCAAGUGUUGAUGGUUGACGAGACCACUAGUUUCAAGAAAAGGGCAAAGGGAAGAAGGGGAACUUCAAAAAGAACGGCAAGCAAGUUGCUACUCAAGUGAAGAAGCCCAAGUCUGUACCUAAGCCUGAGACUAAGUGCUUCCACUGCAAAGGGACUGGUCACUGGAAGCGGAACUACCCCAACUAUUUGGUGGAUAAGAAGGAUGGCAAAGUGAACAAAGGUAUAUUGGAUAUACAUGUUAUUGAGGUGUACUUACUAGUGUUUAUAGCAACCCCUCAGUAUUUGAUACUGGUUCAGUUGCUAAAGAGUAGUAACUCGAAAACGGGAGUUGCAGAAUAAACAGAGACUAGUAAAAGGCGAGGUGACGAUGUGUGUUGGAAGUAGUUCCAAGAUUGAUAUGAUCAUCAUCGCACACUCCCUAUACUUUCGGGAUUAGUGUUGAAACUAAAUAAGUGUUAUUUGGUGUUUGCGUUGAGCAUGAAUAUGAUUUGAUCAUGUUUAUUGCAAUACGGUUAUUCAUUUAAGUUAGAGAACAAUUGUUGUUCUGUUUACAUGAAUAAAAACCUUCUAUGGUCAUACACACCAACGAAAAUGGUUUGUUGGAUCUCGAUCGUAGUGAUACACAUAUUCAUAAUAAUGAAGCCAAAAGAUGCAAAGUUAAUAAUGAUAGCGCAACUUAUUUGUGGCAUUGCCGUUUAGGUCAUAUUGGUGUAAAGCGCAUGAAGAAACUCCAUACUGAUGGGAUUUUGGAAUCACUUGAUUAUGAAUCACUUGAUGCUUGCGAACCGUGACUCAUGGGCAAGAUGACUAAAAACGCCGUUCUCCGGAACUAUGGAGAGAGCAACAGAUUUGUUGGAAAUCAUGCAUACAGAUGUAUGUGGUCCGAUGAAUAUUGAGGCUCGUAGCAGGUAUCAUUAUUUUCUGACCUUCACAGAUGAUUUGAGCAGAUAUGGGUAUAUCUACUUGAUGAAACAUAAGUCUGAAGCAUUUGAAAAGUUCAAAGAAUUUCAGAGUGAAGUAGAAAAUCAUCGUGACGAGAAAAUAAGGUUUCUAUGAUUUGAUCGCGGAGACAAAUAUUUGAGUUACGAGUUUGGUCUUCAAUUAAAACAAUGUGGAAUAGUUUGACAAAUUCACGCCACCUGGAACACCACGGUGUAAUGGUGUGUCCGAACAUCGUAACCGUACUUUAUUAGAUAUGGUGCGAUAUAUGAUGUCUCUUAUCGAUCUACCACUAUCGUUUUGGGGUUAUGCAUUAGAGACAGCUGCAUUCACGUUAAAUAGGGCACCAUCAAAAUCCGUUAAGACGACGCCUUAUGAACUGUGGUUUAGCAAGAAACCAAAGUUGUCGUUUCUUAAAAUUUGGGGUUGCGAUGCUUAUGUGAAAAGGUUUCAUCCUGAUAAGCUCAAACCCAAAUCGGCGAAAUGUGUCUUCAUAGGAUACCCAAAGGAGACAGUUGGGUACACCUUCUAUCACAGAUCCAAAGGCAAGACAUUCAUUGCUAAGAAUGGAUCCUUUCUAGAGAAGGAGUUUCUCUCGAAAGAAGUGAGUGGGAGGAAAGUAGAACUUGAUGAGGUAACUGUACCUGCUCCCUUAUUGGAAAGUAGUUCAUCACAGAAAUCUGUUCCUGUGACUCCUACACCAAUUAGUGAGGAAGUUAAUGAUGAUGAUCGUGUAACUUCAGAUAAAGUUACUACCAAACCUCGUAGGUAAACCAGAGUAAGAUCCGCACCAGAGUGGUACGGUAAUCCUGUUAUGGAGGUUAUGUUACUAGACCAUGACGAACCUACGAACUAUGAAGAAGCGAUGGUGAGCCCAGAUUCCGCGAAAUGGCUUGAGGCCAUGAAAUCUGAGAUAAGAUCCAUAUAUGAGAACAAAGUAUGGACUUUGAUUGACUUGCCCAAUGAUCGGCAAGCCAUUGAGAUUAAAUGGAUCUUCAAGAGGAAGACGGACGCUGAUAGUAGUGUCACUAUCUACAAAGCUAGAAUUGUCGCAAAAGGUUUUCGACAAGUUCAAGGUGUUGAAUACGAUGAGAGAGUUUCUCACUCGUAUCUAUGCUUAAAGUCUGUCUGAAUCAUAUUAGCAAUUGCCGCAUUUUAUGAAAUCUGGCAAAUGGAUAAACAAAACUACAUUCCUUAAUGGAUUUAUUAAAGAAGAGUUGUAUAUGAUGCAACCAGGAGGUUUUGUCAAUCCUAAAAGUGCUAACAAAAUAUGCAAGCUCCAGCGAUCCAUCUAUGGACUGGUGCAAGCAUCUCGGAGUUGGAAUAUACGCUUUGAUAAGUUGAUCAAAGGAUAUAGUUUUAUACAGACUUGCGAUGAAGGCUGUAUUUACAAGAAAGUGAGUGGGAGCACUACAACAUUUCUGAUAAGUAUAUGUAAAUGACAUAUUGUUGAUCAGAAAUAAUGUAAGAUUAUUCUGCAAAGCAUAAAGGAGUGUUUGAAAGGAGUUUUUCAAAGAAAGACCUCGGUGAAGCUGCUUACAUAUUGAGCAUCAAGAUCUAUAGAGAUAGAUGAAGACACUUGAUAAGUUUUUCAAUGAGUACAUACCUUAACAAGAUUUUGAAGUAGUUCAAAAUAGAACAGUCAAAGAAAGAGUUCUUGCCUGUGUUACAAGGUGUGAAAUUGAGUAAAGACUCAAAGCCCGACCACGGCAAAAGAUAGAAAAAGAAUGAAAGUCAUUACCUAUGCCUUGGCCAUAGCUUCUAUAAAGUAUGCCAUGCUGUGUACCAGAUCUAUUGUAUACCCUACACUGAUUUUGGCAAGGGAGUACAAUAGUGAUCUAGGAGUAGAUCACUGGACAGCAGUCAAAAUUAUCCUUAGUGGAAUAAGGAUAUGUUCCUCGAUUAUGGAAGUGACAAAAGGUUCGUCGUAAAGGGUUACAUCGAUGCAAGUUUUGACACUAAUCUAGAUGACUCUAAGUCUCGGUCUAGAUACAUAUUGAAAGUGGGAGCAAUUAGCUAGAGUAGCUCCGUGCAGAGCAUUGUAGACAUAGAAAUUUGCAAAAUACUUACGGAUCUGAAUGUGACAGACCCGUUGACUAAAAUUAUCUCACAAUCAAAACAUGAUCACACCUUAGUACUCUUUGGGUGUUAAUCACAUAGCGAUGUGAACUAGAUUACUGACUCUAGUAAACCCUUUGAGUGUUGGUCACAUAGAGAUGUGAACUAUGGGUGUUAAUCACAUGGUGAUGUGAAUUAUUAAUGUUAAAUCACAUGGCGAUGUGAACUAGAUUAUUGACUCUAGUGCAAGUGGGAGACUGAAGGAAAUAUGCCCUAGAGGCAAUAAUAAAGUAUUAUUUAUUUCCUUAUAUCAUGAUAAAUGUUUAUUAUUCAUGCUAGAAUUGUAUUAACCGGAAACAUAAUACAUGUGUCAAUACAUAGACAAACAGAGUGUCACUAGUAUGCCUCUACUUGACUAGCUCGUUAAUCAAAGAUGGUUAUGUUUCCUAGCCAUAGACAUGAGUUGUCAUUUGAUUAACGGGAUCACCUCAUUAGGAGAAUGACGUGAUUGACUUGACCCAUUCGGUUAGCUUAGCACCCGAUCGUUUAGUAUGUUGCUUUUGCUUUCUUCAUGACUUAUACAUGUUCCUAUGACUAUGAGAUUAUGCAACUCCCGUUUACCGGAGGAACACUUUGUGUGCUACCAAACGUCACAACGUAAAUGGGUGAUUAUAAAGGUGCUCUACAGGUGUCUCCAAAGGUACUUGUUGGGUUGGCGUAUUUCGAGAUUAGGAUUUGUCACUCUGAUUGUCGGAGAGGUAUCUCUGGGCCCACUCAGUAAUGCACAUCACUAUAAGCCUUGCAAGCAUUGUGACUAAUGAGUUAGUUGCGGGAUGAUGUAUUACGGAACGAGUAAAGAGACUUGCCGGUAACGAGAUUGAACUAGGUAUCGAGAUACCGACGAUCGAAUCUCGGGCAAGUAACAUACCGAUGACAAAGGGAACAACGUAUGUUGUUAUGCGGUCUGACCGAUAAAGAUCUUCGUAGAAUAUGUGGGAGCCAAUAUGGGCAUCCAGGUCCCUCUAUUGGUUAUUGACCAGAGAAGUGUCUCGGUCAUGUCUACAUACUUCUAGAACCCGAAGGGUCUGCACGCUUAACGUUAUGAUGACAGUUUUAUUGAUUUUUGAUGUACCGAAGGAGUUCGGAGUCCCGGAUGAGAUCGGGGACAAGAAGAGAAGUCUCGAAAUGGCCGAGACAUAAAAAUCGAUAUAUUGGACGACUAUAUUCGGACUUCGGAAAGGUUCCGAGUGAUUCGGGUAUUUUUCGGAGUACCGGAGAGUUACGGGAAUUCGUAUUGGGCCUUAAUGGGCCAUACGGGAAAGGAGAGAAAGGCCUCAAAAGGUGGCCGCGCCCCUCCCCAUGAUCUGGUCCGAAUUGGACUAGGGAAGGGGGGCGCCCCCUUCCUUCUUUCUCCUUCUCCCUUCCCUUCUCCUAUUCCAACAAGGAAAGGAGGAGUCCUACUCCCGGUGGGAGUAGGACUUCCCCUUCUGGCGCGCCUCUCCUCCCUAGGCCGGCGGCCUCCCCCUUGCUCCUUUAUAUCCGGGGGCAGGGGGGCACCCCAUGAACACACUUGAUAUACGAUAUUUUAGCUGUGUGCGGUGCCCCCCUCCACCAUAUUACACCUCGAUAAUACCGUUGCGGAGCUUAGGCGAAGCCCUGCGUCGGUGGAACAUCAUCAUCGUCACCACGCCGUCGUGCUGACGAAACUCUCCCUCAACACUCGGCUGGAUCGGAGUUCGAGGGACGUCAUCGAGCUGAACGUGUGUAGAACUCGGAGGUGCCGUGUGUUCGGUACUUGAUUGGUCGGAUCGUGAAGACGUACGACUACAUCAACCGCGUUGUGAUAACGCUUUCGCUGUCGGUCUACGAGGGUACAUGGACAACACUCUCCACUCUCGUUGCUAUGCAUCACCAUGAUCUUGCGUGUGCGUAGGAAUUUUUUUGAAAUUACUACGUUCCCCAACAGAUAGAUGAUUUAAAGGAAACCUUUGACAAUCUCCCGGUUUACAAGAUGAUGCUUAACCCGGCCAAGUGUGUUUUUGGUGUGCCAGCAGGCAAGCUCUUGGGAUUUCUGGUUUCAGAACGGGGUAUUGAAGCUAACCCGGAGAAGAUAAAGGCUAUCACCUCUCUGGCUAAGCCAGCGUGUAUCAAUGAUGUUCAGCAUUUGGCGGGUCAUAUUGCGGCCUUGAGCCGGUUCAUAAGCCGGUUGGGUGAGAAGGCUAUCCCUCUGUACUAGAUGAUGAAGAAGACAGAUCACUUUUUCUGGAGUGAUGCUGCUGAUCAGGCAUUUGAGGCCUUGAAGAAACAAUUGGCUGAGCCGCCGGUUCUUGCUGCUCCCAUUAAUAAGGAGCCUUUGUUAUUAAAUGUGGCUGCUAAUUGCCGAGCUGUUAGUGUAGUGAUUGUGGUGGAAAGGAAGGAACCAGGCAAGGAGCAUCUGGUUCAAUGGCCGGUUUAUUACAUCAGUGAGGUGCUUUUUGAGUCCAAGCAGAGGUAUCCGCAUUGGCAGAAGCUUGUGUAUGGGGUUUUCAUGGCUAGUCGAAAGCUCAAGCAAUAUUUUUUGGGUCAUCCCAUCACUGUGGUUUGUUCUGCUCCUUUAGGGGAUAUUAUUCAAAACAGAGAAGCCACAGGUCGGGUAGCCAAGUGGGCCAUUGAGCUUGGACCUCAUGGUUUGAAAUAUAUGCCUCGAACAGCCAUUAAGUCUCAAGCGCUUGUGGAUUUCAUAAAUGAUUCGACAGAGCUGCAGAUGCCUGAGGAUAACCCGGAUAACACUUAUUGGAGUAUUCAUUUUGAUGGAUCUAGGCAGUUGGAGGGCUCGGGGGCUGGAGUUGUCUUGACUUCCCCACGAGGUGAUAAAUUUUCUUAUGUUCUCCGGUUGAUGUUCCCUUGUACUAACAAUGCAACUGAGUAUGAGGCCUUGCUCCAUGGCCUUCGGAUGGCUAAGGAGAUGAACUUAAGCCGGUUGAGGUGUUUUGGCGACCCAGAUUUAGUGGCUCAGCAAGUUUCUGGUACUUGGGAUUCCAAGGAUCCACUCACGGCGGCUUAUUGUCGUGAGGUUGAUGCUAUAGCGGGUCAUUUCAAAGGUUAUCAAGUUGAACAUGUUGAUCGCAGGAAAAAUGAGGCGGCUGAUGCUUUAAGCCGGUUGGGAUCCCAGCGUAAGCCGGUGCCACCUAACACUUUCCUGGAUAUCCUGCAUAACCCUUCGGUCAAAUUGCCCACAGUGGAAGAUCUGGCUAUUCCUAACCCGGAAGCAGAACUGUGGCGGCUCUUCAUGCUAUUCCUGAUUGGACAGUUCCUUAUUUGGCUUAUAUGACCCGGGGCGAGUUACCUGAGGAUGAAACUUUGGCCACACAGAUAACCCGGCGGUCUAAAUCAAUGUCUAUUGUCAAUGGAGAGUUGCAUCAUCGCAGUGUCACACGAGCGUUUCAACAUUGCGUUUCUCCUGAAGAAGGCUGCGAAAUUUUAAGAGAGAUCCAUGAAGGAGAUUGUGGUCAUCAUGACGGGUCUAAGUUUCUCGUAGCCAAGGCAUUUUUUCAUGGAUUUUAUUAGCUGACGGCUUAUGAUGAUGCAGAAGAUCUGAUCAGUAAAUUUGAUGGUUGUCAGAAGUUUGCGCGACGAGCUCAUGUGCUGGCUCAAGAAUUGAGGAUGAUUCCAAUUGCUUGACCAUUUGCAGUCUGGGGGCUUGAUAUGGUUGGGCCUUUCAAAAUGUCCAAGGAUAAAAAGACCCACCUCCUGGUGGCGGUUGACAAGUUUACAAAGUGGGUUGAAGCAGAGCCGGUUAGUAAGUGUGACGCAGCAACGGCGGUUCAAUUCAUCAAAAAGGUGUCUUUCCGUUUUGGCUUUCCCCACAGCAUUAUAACUGAUAAUGGCGCUAACCUAUCCAAAGGUGCUAUGAAAGAGUUUUGUCAACGAGAACAUAUUCGACUUGAUGUAUCUUCAGUGGCUCACCCCCAGUUCAAUGGUCAAGCGGAGCGAGCUAAUCAAGAGAUUUUGAGAGGCAUCAAGCCUCGACUCAUGGUUCCUUUGCAGAGAACGCCGGGUUGUUGGGUGGAAGAGUUGCCCUCAGUAUUAUGGAGCAUCAAUACUACCCCCAACAGAUCCACAUGUUACAUGCCUUUAUUUAUGGUUUACGGAGCAGAGGCGGUUCUCCCUAGUGACUUCCGUCACGAUUCGCCCCGUGUGGCGGCUUAUGUUGAAGCUGAUAAUGAAACAGGACGUCAGGAUGCUCUUGACCUGUUGGAUGAGGAGCGUGACCUUGCGGCGGCUCGUUUGGCAAUUUACCAGCAGGAUCUGCGUCAUAAUCACAGCCGCCGGGUUAAAACCAGAACCUUUCAAGAAGGCGACUUGGUGCUCCGGCUUAUCCAGGAUUAGACUGAUAUGCAUAGACUAUCCCCGCCUUGGGAAGGGCCUUCUGUGGUCAGCAAGAAUCUGAAUAAUGGGUCAAACUAUCUUAUCGAUGUUCGAGACCACAAGGACUUACGCACAUCGGAGGAGGAGACCCGUUAGUCGUGGAAUAUUGCUCAUCUUCAGCCUUACUACACCUGAGUCACUGGCUCUCAUGAUGUACAUAUUUUGAUGAUGUAUAUAUUAUAAUGAGUAUAAUAAAGCCGGCAUCCCUGAUAAAUCAGGGCCUCUGUCAUUUCAUUUCUUUGAAAUUGAGUCUUUAUUGUCAUCUCACGUGAUCACUUAAGAGGCUUAAAUGCCCGAGUUACAGGGACCAAAGAGAGUUGGAUGGACAGCACAGCUCAAACAUAGGUACCCGCUGAGUAGAGCUCAGAAACAUAUCACUUGGGGGCUUCCUUUUCAAUGAACAUAGCUAUAUUCACCCUUUUGAUUGGCUUGGAUGCCAGGUGUAUUCACCAAAAAUCCGAGUUAUCCUGCCUGUAUGCAAGAUGCUUCUCCAUCAGGUAAUCCUGAAUGACCCGUUGUACUCUUAACAGUCAAUCUUUUAAUAAGACCCUGAACUGGUUAAGGUUAAAACAGCCGUUUGUCAUGUGAGGGCCGGCUUACGGAACGCAAGGAUAAACCCCGGCUAUUAAGCCGCCUUCCUUAAAACUUGGUCAAGCCAGCCUGUUUUUGCACAAUGCUACUCCAACCCCGCAUACUCUCGAUAAGUCAAUCUUUUAACAAGACCCUGAACUUAUCCAGGUUAAAAUGUCGAUUGGGUCAUGUGAGAGCCGGCUUACAGAAAACACGGAUACUCCAGCGGCUAUCAUGCUAGUUUCAUUGAAGAAGAGAUUUUGGCUCGGCGGCCUAUGAAAGCCUCGUGUUUUUUCGAAUCUUCUAUUUUCGGCUUGGAUUUGUAUCGCUUCUUCUUUUCUUACCAUAUAAUUUUCAUAAGUCGGGCCAAGCAGCCUUGACUAUGUUUUAUAUUUGGGAUAUUAUACCCUGCCCUGGUUAUGGACUUUUAUGGUCACCAGUGGACUUAUGUUGGGCAUCAUGACCCGCCCUGCGGUAAACCGCCAGGGUACUUGUGAUUUGUUUGUGUGCAGGAAAAAGGGAUACACAACUAAUCUAUAUAAUGAUAUCAUCAAAAAUUGCAUAUCUUCAACUGGUGCUUCAGCAGCAUCAGACAAAAUAAAACAUGCACGAUGGCAUGGCAGAUCAAAAGUUUAACUCGCCUAUUACAAGGGAUCUGAUGGCCCAAUGAGAAUAAGUGUUUUGGGAGCUAUCAACACAACAAAGUAUUUAUGCUUAAUAAACAUCAGCUUAUGAUUGUUGGCGGGUUGAAGCCUCUGGGUGUUCCGGCACCUCUUCUUCAUCUUUAGCUCCUUGGUUUUCCACCAGCUGGAAGUCAGGCGUAGUCCAGUUGAUACCGGUCAACGCUCUAAAUACAGCUUCAUCAUCAAUGAGUGUCGGCGUUCUGGGAAUGGGGGUCCCCAGACCGGCCUGCCUGCUGCCCACGGUGUGGCUCCACCUGCGGCCUGGUAUGGCCCAUCAUCACCAGCAAACACUCAAGACCCUCGCGAGGGGCCAAGCCUAGCUAGGCGGACGACACAAGACCUCCUCAGGGGUGGCCUCACUAGGCUGGCUCGUCAGGGGCGGAGAGAUCAAGGCAAGGGGCGCCUCGUGAGGUUCCUGUGACGCAAUCCAUGACGACCAAGGCCAGGCGGGCGCCAGGCGGGCACCAUCGUGCGUAGUGUACUCGUUUCCUCUUUGGUGCUAAAGGAGGCAGGCGCAGGCGAGGAGUCCCGAGGCAUCAGGCAAAGGUUUCCAUAUCGAUGCAACGAGACCAAGACCAGCAGGACGGCAGGACGGAGGUCACCGUGGAGCCCAGGAUGGCGUCACUACCAGAGCCUUUGGCAGGCGAAGACCACCUUUAGUCAGGAUAACUUGUACUGGUUGUCUCCCUUCAAUUUUGGCUGUUGUUGGAUCCCUUCCCGCCUACAUUUGGGAAGAGGACCAUGGCCUUUAUAAAUCGGAUCCAUUCCAUCCUCACACACACAAGCUCAUCGAGCCCAAGAACACCUCUCUUCAGGAGGCUGUUCUUCACUUGUACUUGUUCAUCCUUAGGCUCUGAGGCAAUCCACCACACCACAAUGGAGUAGGGUAUUACACCACAUCGGUGUCCCGAACCAGUAUAAACUCUGUGUCCAUUGUUCUUCAGGUUUGACAUGCAGAGCUUUAAGAUCGUCGUGAGUGUGUGAGCCAGGGGAGGGAGAGAUCUUCGUGCGCACCCCAGUGUUCGAACCAUAAGGGUUUUGCCGGAACCCGAAAUCCGACAUUUGGCACGCCAGGUAGGGGUGCGCUGAAGCUUUCCUUCCGUCAAUCCGCGCUCCACCACGUCCAUGGUAGACGCGCGCCAAUCUCGCGCCGAGCGCUAGGCCGCCCUGGCUGCCCGUGUCGCUCAGAUGGCCCCUAUCGGCGUGCCUCCCCGUCCUUCUCCAUCACCCGCCGCCAACGCCGCCACUGGCCCAGCGGGAAACGAGCAGCAAGCGUCCUCGCUGCACCCCUCUGUGUGGCGGGACGGCCGCACCGCCCCUCCAUCGCUAACCCCGGCCGGCUCAUCGUCUCACGCUCGACGCGCACCCACGGACACGCUGGCUGAUACGUCUCCAACGUAUCUAUAAUUUUUUAUUGUUCCAUGCUAUUAUAUUAUCUGUUUUGGAUGUUUAAUGGGCUUUAUUAUACACUUUUAUAUUAUUUUUGGGACUAACCUACAAACCGAAGGCCCAGCCCAAAUUGUUGUUUUUUGCCUAUUUCAGUGUUUCGAAGGAAAGGAAUAUCAAACGGAGUCCAAACGGAAUGAAACCUUCGGGAACGUGAUUUUCUGAACAAACGUGAUCCAGAGGACUUGGAGUGGACGUCAAGCACUCAACAAGGGGGCCACGAGGCAGGGGGCGCGCCUACCCCCCUGGGCGCGCCCUCCACCCUCGUGGGCCCCUUGUGUCUCCGCCGACCUACUUCUUCCUCCUAUAUUACGUACGUGCCCCGAAAACAUCAGAGGAGGAGCCAAAACCCUAUUUCCACUGCCGCAACCUUCUGUACCCGUGAGAUCCCAUCUUGGGGCCUUUUCCGGCGCUCCAUCGGAGGGGACAUUGAUCACGGAGGGCUUCUACAUCAACACCAUAGCCUCUCCGAUGAUGUGUGAGUAGUUUACCUCAGACCUUCGGGUCCAUAAUUAUUAGCUAUAUGGCUUCUUCUCUCUCUUUGGAUCUCAAUACAAAGUUCUCCUCGAUUCUCUUGGAGAUCUAUUCGAUGUAAUAUUCUUUUGUGGUGUGUUUGUCGAGAUCCGAUGAAUUGUGGGUUUAUGAUCAAGAUUAUCUAUGAACAAUAUUUGAAUCUCCUCUGAAUUCUUUUAUGUAUGAUUGGUUAUCUUUGCAAGUCCUUAGAAUUAUCAGUUUGGUUUGGCCUACUAGAUUGAUCUUUCUUGCAAUGGGAGAAGUGCUUAGCUUUGGGUUCAAUCUUGCGGUGCUCGAUCCCAGUGACAGUAGGGGUAACGACACGUGUUAUAUUGUUGCAAUCGAGGAUAAAAAGAUGGGGUUUAUAUCAUAUUGCAUGAGUUUAUCCCUCUACAUCAUGUCAUCUUGCUUAAAGCGUUACUCCGUUCUUAUGAACUUAAUACUCUAGGUGCAUGCUGAAUAGCGGUCGAUGUGUGGAGUAAUAGUAGUAGAUGCAGUAGGAGUCGGUCUACUUGUCACGAACGUGAUGCCUAUAUACAUGAUCAUACCUAGAUAUUCUCAUAACUAUGCUCAAUUCUAUCAAUUGCUCGACAGUAAUUUGUUUACCCACCGUAAUACUUAUGUUCUUGAGAGAAGCCACUAGGGAAACCUAUGGCCCCCGGGUCUAUUCUCUAUCAUAUUAAUCUACCGCUAUUUACAUUACCGUUUAUUUUGCUUUCUUUACUUUUAGUAUUUAUCAUAAAAAUACCAAAAAUAUUAUCUUAUCAUCUCUAUCAGAUCUCACUUUUGCAAGUGGUCGUGAAGGGAUUGACAACCCUUUUCUCGCGUUGGUUGCAAGGCUCUUAUUUGUUUGUGUAGGUGCGUGGGACUUGAGCGUGGUCUCCUACUGGAUUGAUACCUUGGUUCUCAAAAACCGAGGGAAAUACUUACGCUACUUUACUGCAUCACCCUUUCCUCUUCAAGGGAAAACCAAUGCAGUGCUCAAGAGGUAGCAAGAAGGAUUUCUGGUGCCGUUGCCGGGGAGUCUACGCAGAAGUCAAGACAUACCAAGUACCCAUCACAAACUCUUAUCCCUUGCAUUACAUUAUUUGUCAUUUGCCUCUCGUUUUCCUCUCCCCCACUUCACCCUUGCCGUUUUAUUCGCGCUUCUUCUGUACGUCUUUUUCGUUUACUUUGAUGUCUUACUUGGCUCGUUUGCUCGAUUGGUUGGAAUAGUUGUGUAUUUAUUGCUAAACAAAGAGCCUAAGAUCUAUGGAUCCUCAUCCGCUUGCUAAUCUUUUUAAGAGAUCCAAUUAUGAUGAACCAAUUCCUAGUGAUUUGGGUGCACUAGAUUAUCUUUACAAGGUUUUGCUUGAAAUCCGUGAAUCUGAAAAUUGUGAUGAAGUGCUUUAUGAAGAUUCACCAUAGAUCUUUGAAAAAAUCAUGAUUGCAAUGAUGUUAUUAUAAAUUCUAUUAAUGUCAAUUGUGUUAAUGAUAUGCAAAACCCUAAGCUUGGGGAUGCUAAGUUUGCUAUGUCUACUACUAGUUGCAAUGAUCAUGAUUGGGGUGAUUCUUCUUAUGAUCUUGAAAAUUUAUUUAAGUCCCAUGAUGAAUAUGAGAUUGAUAGUUGUGUUUGCAAUAAUAUUGAAAGCGGGUUUGGAAGAGUGUGAACUUUAGAUCCCACAUAUUUGGAGAAUAUUCAAUCUUAUGAUUUUUUUUAUAAAAGUGGGUUUGGAGAGGUCAUGACUUUAGUUAAUGUUAAUCCCACUAUUUCGGAAGAGUGUCAACUUUGCAUGCAAGUGGAUCACGAAGAGAAUAUGUUAUGUGAUAGCUAUAUUGUUGAAUUUUCGUAUGAUCCUACAUGUAAUUACUAUGAGAGAGGAAAAUAUGGUUGUAGAAACUUUUAUCUUACUAAAUUACCUCUCGUCAUGUUGAGAUUGCUAUUGUCACUUUCUUCUUCCCUGCAUAUGCUAGUUUUUGCUUGCCUUGCAAUUUUUUUACUUAUAAUAUGCCUAUGCAAAGGAAGUACGUUAGACUUAGAUGUGUUUGUCCCGUGUUUUAUGAUGCUCUCUUUGCGCUUCAAUUCUUGUCUUUCAUGUGAGCAUCAUUAAAAUUAUCUAUGCCUAGCUAAAAGGCUUUAAAGAAAAGCGCUUGUUGGGAGACAAACCAAUAUUUUUCCUUGCUGUUAUUCAAUAAAUCUUUGCUCUAGCCUGUGGUUAGAUGUGUUUUUAUGUUUUAAUUAGUGUUUGUGCCAUGUUAAACCUAUAGUAUCUUCUUGGAUGAUAGUUAUUUGAUCUUGCUGAAAAUUCCAGAAACUUUCUGUUCACAAAAGAAAUUGUUAAAAAUCACCAGAACGUGAUAAAAUACUGAUUCCAAUUGCAGUAGAUCAAUAAAAAAAUUAUCUAGAUCUUACUAUUUUGGUAUAUUUUUCUGAGUUCCAGAAGUUUGCGUUCGAUACAGAUUACUACAGACUGUUCAGUUUUUGACAGAUUCUGUUUUUCGUGUGUUGUUUGCUUAUUUUGAUGAAUCUAUGGCUAGUAAAAGAGCUUAUAAACCAUAGAGAAGUUGGAAUACAGUGGGUUUAAAACCAAUAUAAAUAAAGAAUGAGUUCAUUACAGUACCUUGAAGUGGUGUUUUGUUUUCUUUCGCUAACCGAGCUCACGAGAUUUUCUGUUAAGUUUUGUGUUGUGAAGUAUUCAAGUUUUGGGUAAAGAUUUGAUGGAUUAUGGCACAAGGAUUGGCAAGAGCCUAAGCUUGGGGAUGCUCAAGGCACCCCAAGGUAAAAUUCAAGGACAACCAAAAGCCUAAGCUUGGGGAUGCCCCGGAAGGCAUCCCCUCUUUCGUCUUCGUCUAUCGGUAACUUUACUUGGGGCUAUAUUUUUAUUCACCACAUGAUAUGUGUUUUGCUUGGAGCGUCUUGUAUUAUUCGAUUCUUUGAUUUUUAGUUUACCACAAUCAUCCUUUCUGUACACACCUUUUGAGAGAGACACACAUGAUUCGUAAUUUGUUAGAAUACUCUAUGUGCUUCACUUAUAUCUUUUGAGCUAUAUAGUUUUUGCUCUAGUGCUUCAUUUAUAUCUUAUAGAGCACCGUGGUGGUUUGAUUUUAUAGAAAUUAUUGAUCUCUCAUGCUUCACUUAUAUUAUUUUGAGAGUCUUAAACAGCAUGGUAAUUUGCUUUAAUUGUGAAAUUAAUCUGAAUGUGAUAGGCAUCCAAGAUGAGCGUAAUAAAAACUUCAAUAUUGAGUUCAUUGAAUAUCAUGAGAAGUUUGAUACUUGAUAAGUGUUUUGGUAUAUAAAGGUGGUAAUAUUGGAGUGUGCUAGUUGAGUAAUUGUGAAAUUGAGAAAUACUUGUGUUAAGGUUGGCAAGUCCCGUAGCAUGCACGUAUGGUAAAAGUUGUGUGACAAUUUUGACACAUAAGGUGUUCUUUUAUUGCUUUCCUUAUGAGUGGCGGUCAGGGACGAGCAAUGGUCUUUUCCUACCAAUCUAUCCCUCUAGGGGCAUGCGUAGUAGUACUUUGCUUCGAGGGCUAAUAAACAUUUGCAAUAAGUAUAUGAGUUCUUUAUGACUAAUGUGAGUCCAUGGAUUAUAUGCACUCUCAACCUUCCACAAUUUUCAAGCCUCAACGGUACCGUGCAUUGCCCUUUCUCGCCUUGAGAGUUGGUGCAAACUUCGCCGGUGCAUCCAAACCCCGUGAUAUGAUACGCUCUAUCACACAUAAACCUCCUUAUAUCUUCCUCAAAACAGCCACCAUACCUACCUAUCAUGGCAUUUCCAUAGCCAUGCCGAGAUAUAUUGCCAUGCAACUUACCACCGUUCCGUUUAUUAUGACAUGCUCCAUCAUUGUCAUAUUGCUUUGCAUGAUCAUGUAGUUGACAUGGUAUUUGUGGCAAAGCCACCUUUCAUAAUUUUUUAUACAUGUCACCCUUGAUUCAUUGCAUAUCCCGGUACACCGCCGAAGGCAUUCACAUAGAGUCAUAUUUUGUUCUAAGUAUUGAGUUGUAAUUCUUGAGUUGUAAGUAAUAAAAGUGUGAUGAUCAUCAUUAUUAGAGCAUUAUCCCAUGUGAGGAAAGGAUGAUGGAGACUAUGAUUCCCCCACAAGUCGGGAUGAGAUUGCGGACUAAAAAAAGAGGCCAAAGAAAAAGAGAAGGCCCAACAAAAAAAGAGAAAAAAAAAAGAAAAAAAA